rnacentral:lncRNA from 1 species
GUUGUUUGCCUUAUCAAAAUCUCUACUCUCAGAAAUUUUUCUUUCUUUUAUAGAAGAUGAUGAUGAUGAUGAUGAUGAUGAAAAGGGGCUUAAAUUGAGGCCCCAAGUAAAUUAAUUAGAAGCUACAACAUCAUAAAGCAAAAUCAGUAAUAAAGAGUUCUGAUUCACUUUGCUUAAUAUAGAAUUUACCUUUGCCAGUUAAGCCCGCCUGUAAUUUUGGUUAACGUCUAAACAUGCAUUUAUUUAUUUAUUUACAACUUACCUCAUUAAUUUUCUCCCCAUGUAUAACCCACCAAACUCCAACUGCACUACCUGAAACUCUUUAUUCGGUUUAGUUAAAUCUGGCCUCCACUUUACCACAACAUAGUGGGGCUGGCCAUCGCCUCCACUUUAUUCAAUACAUUCAGCUUCUAGAAUUCCAAAAACAAUACAUCAUGAUUUGUUUAUUAUGUUACUUUAAUUUUUUUUCCCCUUUUCGUCUAGUCUUGUUUUAUAUUAGCAGUGUUGAUCGUUGAUAAAGGUUGAAGUUUCGGAUUUUAAUGUUUGAGUUUAAGUUCUACCAUCUAUAAUUGCAAUACGGGUCUCUCUUACCUUGUGUAUAUGCGGUGUGUUUUAUCUAAUUAUUUUUAGAUUUUACUAUGUUUUUGUUCAGUUCUUCAUCUAUUAUGAAUUGCAUCAGUUGAAUUUUACGUUAUAAUUUAUUGAACAUAUAUUUAUUUUUGUCUUCUAAUUGUACAAUUUUUAUACCAGUGAAUUUUUUUAAAAAAAAUCAUGUGAUUAUGGAAUAUACGACAUAUAUUUAUGAAAUUUUAAGAAAAGAAAAAAAGAAAUGUUAAGUAUACACCAUUUUCAGUCACAUUAGAAUCCUGUUAAUACAUUAUUUCUACGGCUUCUACAUCACUAAACUGAUGAUCACAUUGGAUACUACCUUUUCUUUUCUUUUUGACUUAAUAGUAUUAAUGGUUUUCGAGUUUGGCAAACAUUUUUUUUCAAAAUUGGGUAGGAUUCGAUGGCCAGAUUGAUACAAUCUUUGUACGGCCGAAACGCUUCCCUACCGUUAAUCAAGCAACCAAACUUCACUUAAUCCAAGGAAAAGAAGAAAAGCAAAAAGUAAAAGCCAAAAGAAAAAUUAUUCAAUUGAUUGGUCAAACACUAACGUUGACAAUAAAGCUUCUUUUUUUUUUUAACUCUCUACCAUUGAUCUUUUAUUCCACCCCUUCCUUACAGCUUUUUGUUGUUGUUGUUUUCUAAAACAGAACCUCAUAAUAUCAGACAUAUUGGGACUCUGAAAAUUCAACCUUCAGGGAGAAAAAAUCCUUCUUGUUUCCAUUAUGUUUAUUUUGUUAUAGAUGGAGGCAUCGGUGCUUGAGUUGUGAAUGCAUAAGCAUGAACCAUAAAGUUCAAUCAAGAUAUGAGGAGAAUCUUCUUUUUCCUUUAUCUUUGCUUUUCUGUUUUUCCUUUGUUGAUGGCGCCAAACGUAGUCUUAAAGUAUAUUAGAUACAUCUGGUGACCAACAUUCAAUUAUAAUAAAGAGUAUAGAUAGAUACAUCAAUACUAUCCAGCCCUCUUUCAUGAUGAUGUUGCAAGUUUUGCACUCCACCCCCAUAUUAUUAUGAAGAGGAGAAAUUCCUGUUAGUUGAGCUUUAUUUUCUAAGAAAUGACUUCUAACAUUAAUAAAUUUGAAUCAUGAUAUAUUUAUAGCUAUUUCUCUUACUCUCUCGUAUUAUAGCUUUCUUUAUAUGCUAAAACAGGAGAUGAGUAGGAAGAAACAAUUUUUGUUAAAAGACGUGAAGUUGUCUUAAGAUUGACAAGGCAGUUAGAUGCAUUUAAAUUGGUAUUUAAGGAUAUGUCUGUAUAUAACUAGAACUAAUUAAGAUUACAAUACACUGCAAAAUGAUUCCACCUUUUUUUUUGGGGGGUUCUCUCUUUUAUAUGAUCAAAUACAAUGUUGAUAUGAACAAGGUUUUGCAGUUGUAGAAAAUCGUGGAGGACUUUUUUUUUUACAAAAAAGAAAGAUAAAAUUCAUAAAAAAUGUGAAGUUAAGCAUAUUUAGCGACGGGUGGGGUAUGGGGUGGUUUGCUAACAUGGAAUGCGCAUGGCAGAUUGGCACUUUAAAGAAGGGAUGGGGCCGAGGGGGCGGGAGUUGUUAAAUCCUCGGGGUAGAAAAAGGUAAGUAAGCGUGUCCCUGGCAUUAGACAAGGAGUAGAGGGGGCAGCACAUGCACAGCAUAACUAUAUCUCUUUAUUUUAUGUCCCACUCCACUCCCCCUCAUCUCUGCCGCAACAUUAAAUACCAUAUGCAUCCUUACUAUUCAUAAUGGUUUUUUGUUGGGUUGAUGUUACAAAAUUACAAUUUUACUAUAGAUGUAUUUAUAAUAUUUAAGAUUUUUUUAAGUAGGAGUUUAAUCUUUGGUGGUGAUGUUGAUUUUAGAUAUAUUCCCCACCCGCAAGUAGAUAUCAUACAUUCUAAUAUAAUUAAAAAUGGUAUAAUUAAAAUAUUUUUAAUAUUUUUAAUAUUAUUUUUAUAUUUUUGAAUUUUUAAAUUUUAAAAAAUUAAUUAAAUGUUGGUGCGUCAUCUACAUGUAUGCAACGGCGAAGCUUAAAAAAUAUUAAUUUUUUUCAUUCGUGAUUUGACAAAAAAAAGUAAGUUUAAAGGCUAAAAAAGCAUAAAUUUAAAUAAAUAGCUAAAAUAAUUUUUUUACAAAGUUAGAGAGCCAAAUAAAUUAUUAUUUUAUUUAAAAAUAUUUUUUUAAUAAAUUAUUAAUUUAGUCACAUAAUCUAAUAUAAUUUAAUUCAAACCCGUUGGUUCCAUCAACAAAUUGAUCUGCAUGAGACUUAAGGGUUAGAAUUUGGUGCGUAACUCUUUUUCCUCCUAAUUUUUACUUUUAAAAAGAAAUUGCAAUACAAUUUUUUUAUUAUAGAAUUCUCCAAUUUUUAUUUAUUUAUUUGAUCAGGAAGCUUUAUUGACACUGCUUUUAUUUUUCCAUCAAUCCAAUUUAAGAGACAAUUCACUUUUUAUAAUUAACAAAAAACAAAAAGAAAAUAAAAGAAAUUACUUUUUCCUUUUUCGUGUUCGAUACAAGAUAGAUGAAAUAUGGAAAAUAAAAUGCAAUGAAAAUAUAUUAUUAGUGAUAUAUCACCUCCAUUAUGUAGGGGAAAGAAAUAAAAAUAAUAUUAAUUUAUGAUACUUUCAUAAUGUGGUUAAAAAUAAUUAUCUAGUAUUUUUUUGUAAAAAAAAAGGAAAGUUGAUAUCUAUGCUACUAAUGAAGUUUCUUAGUGAGUUUGUUACUAAUCAUAUUCGAAUUUUAAAAAUUGUGAAUUUUUAAAAAAUAAGUUAUUUAUAUAACUAGUAAUAUACUAUUUUGACUCUUUUUUUAUCCGAGUUAAUGUUAGUUAUCUCGUGAUACCAAUUCAAUAAAACACUUUAUUUAUAUUAAAUUAAUAUAGGUGAGAAGUAAAAUUAUUUAACAAAUAUAUUCUUAAAAAUACUAAAGGAGGUUUUGGUUGAAUAGCAAAAUAUAAAUAUUACAAAUUAUAAAGAUGUAGGUUCAAUAUUUUUACUAUUUUUCUAUAUAAAAUGAUAACCUUAUAAAAGUAGUUUGUGGUUGAUGGACUAAUUUUUUAAAAAGAAUUAAUAUUAGUAAAGAUAUAUAUGGUACUAAACAUAAGGAAAUAGGGGAAAACGUAUCAUAUUUGUAGUGGGAGAAUGGGAUCAUUACAAGGAAAAAUGAAAUAUAUAUCAUUAACAACAAACAUAAAAGAAAGCGUCUUUUGAUAAAGUUGUUAUUGGUGUAAUGUGAAGGGACCACAAUCAUCACCAUUCACCACUUGCUCCUAAUUGAGUUGAAAUCUUUUUACAACAUAGAAAACUAGAACAUCUCCCUUUCUUGCUUCCUAUAUAUAGAUUUUGUAUCAUCGCAAUUCCACAUCACACACGCAAGCAAAGCAAAGCAUUAGCAACCAUAGCCAUGGCUUCCUCACCAAAACUCUUCUCUAUGUCUAUCCUCUUCCUUUUUGCCCUCUUCUCCAUGCAAAUCCAUGCUAGAGAGUACUUCAGCAAAUUCCCAAGAGUUAACACCAAUGAGAAAGAGACAACAACCAGAGAGCAAGAGCACGAGACCUUCGUUCCCCAGACCACCCAAAAGCCAGAAGAGCAAGAGCCAAGGUUCAUCCCUGAAACCCAAAAUGGUUAUGGCCUUUACGGCCACGAGUCAGGCUCAGGCUCAAGCCGGCCCAGUUUCACCACCAAAGAAACCUAUGAACCCUAUGUCACCCCUGUUAGAUUCCACCCUGAUGAACCCUAUAACAGCAUCCCCGAAUCCUCCAACAAUAAAGACACUUACUACUACAACAAGAAUGCCUACAAGUCCACUAAGCAGCAAAACUUGGGCGAGGCCAUUUUCACCGAGAAAGGAUGGAGCACCAAGGAAAACCAGAACAACAACUACUACAACGGCAACAUUAAUGGCGAGAAGCAAGGCAUGAGCGAUACUAGGUACUUGGAGAAUGGAAAGUACUACUAUGACGUCAAGAGUGAGAACAGCUAUUAUCCAAACCAGCUCGACAACUCAAGAGGAGUUGCUUCCAGGAACGAGUUCGAUGAGAAUCGUUACAACAACAUGGGAAGGUACCACCAGAACCAAGAGGAGUUCGAGGAAAGCGAGGAAGAGUUCGAACCCUGAUCACCUGUCGUACAGUAUUUCUACAUUUGAUGUGUGAUUUGUGAAGAACAUCAAACAAAACAAGCACUGGCUUUAAUAUGAUGAUAAGUAUUAUGGUAAUUAAUUAAUUGGCAAAAACAACAAUGAAGCUAAAAUUUUAUUUAUUGAGCCUUGCGGUUACUUUCUUGUGAUGAUCUUUUUUAUUUUCUAAUUAUAUAUAGUUUCCUUCGCUUUGAAAUGCUAAAGGUUUGAGAGAGUUAUGUUCUUUUUCUCUUCCUCUUUCUUUUUUAACUUUAUCAAACAAUUUUUGAAUAAAAAUGUGAGUAUAUUGUAACACUAGUUGUCUAUAUUCCCCUACCGAAAAAAUCUACUUAAAAGAGCAGUAAAAAACGCAAAGAGAAAAUGAAAAUCAAAUACAACAAUUCUUUAGCUUUCUAUACAUGAACAUUAAUGAUGUUCCAUGCAUACAAGGACAAUAAUCAUGACAGCCUCAUUAAACUAUUUCGAAAUGAUUGGAUCUUUUCAUGAUCUUGUUUUGUAGUCGAUGAUCCCCCUUCACCAAACCAUGCACGCGUAUAUAAAAGAACCUAAUUAAUUAAAAAGUUAAAUUUGAACAAGUUAGGGAGGUCUUGUUGGUGAAAACAUAGAGCCGAUAGGAUUGGAACAAUGAUUAUAUAUGGCGUCUCGUAUGCAUCUAGCUCAUAGAUCAUAUGCAUAAAAACGAGUUUUCAACAGUCAUAACCCCAACAAAAGUGUGUAGCUUGCUAGUUGUGUGCCACUUCCAUGUGAUGAUAUAAAUGGCCACCUUCUUCAUCACUAUCUUUGCAAGUGAUAGCAUCAUGUUUUGAGGUCAACAGUUGAUCGCACUUCUGAAGAUAAAUUUUUCUCUAACAAUGAAUUUUUUUCGUAACUUUUAAUUAAUUUUUUUCGAUGGAAUUAAUCAACAUAGUUUUAAUUAGUUCAAAUAAAUCUGUUGGCUAAAUAAUAAAUUCAAUCGUACCAAGUUAUAGUUUAGGUUGAGAGUAUAGUUUAUUUCUUAACCAUAUCAGGUUCGGAGUACUAUUUAUUAGUACAUUAAUUAAGAAAGGUAAUCCUAGUCGAUCAAGUUAAUGGUCAAGAGUUAAGUAUGCUAGUUGGUAAACAAGCAGCAACGUAAAAUAAGUAGGACCACCUUAGCCAUUAAAGUAAAAGCAGGUAAUCAAUUUUAAAUAUAUAAUCAAAAAAAUAAUAAUAAAAGAGAGAGAGGAAAAUGAUGAAUUUCAAUUGGAUUAUCCGUGAAUGACGGAUAGACUGUGGUUUGUCUCUUCUUCUUUUUCAACUUUAUUUGUGUUCUCAAGCUUUAGCCUUUAGAGACCCUCCUUCUUUUUGACUUGUAUAUACACAUAUGAACUCAAUGAAUCCAAAGACUUAUCUUGUAGGUGUAUAUCAUCUGUUAUGUCAGUGUAGAAUGUUUAUAAUAUUAUAGAUAACUGUUAGGGUUAGUUGGAGACCGGCAAACCCAACUAAAUGGGACCGGAGAGGGUGCUCUCCCAGCAUAAUGUGUGGGUACUGAGUACAGUGUCUUUAUUUAUAUGGAACCCCAUUUCAACAAAGGGAAGAAUUUAUUGACCCCCAAAAAUAGGAGCAAAAUAAUUGUGGGAGUACUCAUGAUGCUGGGUAUUGAAUGGUUCUUAUUUUUAAAAAAAUAAUAGCAGUACCGUAACUUUAACAAAUAGAUAGAUAAUUACAUUCAUCAAUUCAGGAUAGUUCGUGAUCAACUCUGAACAAUGCAUCUCUUACUCUCCAAAACUGCCUCUAAUCUUUUCAACCCGAAACAUUUUUCGAGUGUUGACAUGCAAAUAUUGUAACUAAGUUCCAUUGGAGAAAGAUAAAGAACAAUGGCCCAAAUGGCCCCAGGACCUACUAGGAUCAGUACCCAUCUUUCUUGGGCCUUCAAACAUUUUAUUUAUAAAAAGCUUUUUAAAUGUUGAUAGACAGUUCACCAUAGGGUAUAUGUCUUUUUUUAGUUGGUGUGAUGACGAACAUUUAUGAAUUUUUGUUUAUGUGGUAUUAUUUGAUAAAUUGAAAAAUUAAAGUUAAAAUUAAAAAAUAUUCUAUAUUUAGAAUAAUUUUAAAACUUCAAAAGAUAAUGCAACCAAUAACAAAAUAUGAAAAAAGAAAAUUUCAAAUUCAGGUCUUUGUCGAGUUUCUACUUUUUACUAUUUUCUUGAUCUUUCAUUGGGGACAAAAAUCAUAAAAGCUAAUUAAUUUGCAAAUCACUGUUGAUUUUCUUUUUUUUCUUAAUCACCAAAAUGAAAUUCAGAAAUUGCGCAGAAUUUAUCUAAUUUUCUUUUAGGAUACUGUAUUUCAAAAAUAAAUUAUUGAAUGUUUGCUAAAGUGAUAAAGUAGGUCAUUAUCUAACACAUUGAAAAUUCCCAAUAGCUUUAUUAUGUAUAUUUUUAAUGUAAAACUUCCUAGUUUAAUUUUAAAAUGUAGUUCUAUAUGAACUUCCAGAUUUAUGCUUAGUUUUAUUUUAUUUGUAUGUUUUUAUUAUACAUUUUCAGAAAGGCCUAACCAAACUGAAUUGUUCCACUUCUUUUAUUGUUCUUUUCCCGAAUAGUCUGGGAGGAUUAAGAAUUUUGAGCUAUUUAAAUAUUUAAUUAAAAUUUUAAAAAAUUUCCAGAAACUUGAUGAAAAUGCAGAAAAAAAUUUGAGAGCUAUUGACAAAAAGAAAUUCCAACAUCUUCUAAGGAGCCCCACGUGUCCUUUUCUCCAUGCGGGCGGAUCAACCAUAGGCGGAGUUCAAAUCUUUUAUAUACGUUUCAACAUGUAAAACGCCUUUCAAUUUCCCAUGCGAUUUGUUUAUGGCACCUCCUCCAUUAACCCCAAUCUUGUCAAACUAAACACACAGACUGCAAAAACAAACAAAACCAGUGGAGUUUUAUUUCAUUUCAGAAUCCCACCUUCAAUCUUUUUGGUUUGGUACUAUUAAUGUCCGAAAAUUUUGAGCUGGAAUCAUUAACGUGAAAGUUAAUGAUUCUAACAACCCUGAAAUUGAUUGAUUUCAACUUUUUAACUCCAAAUUACUCUGGGCUUUUAAGUUUGUUUGCUGAAAACAAUGUUACAAAUGAACUUUCCCCCUGAAAUAUGAACCAUUACCCUUUUUUGUAGUCUCAUAUUCCUGUCAUGAACUGCCUCUCUUUAAGUUUUCACCUGUCACCAUUGCCUGCCCAUUUACUUCUAAAUUAAACACCCCUGAACUUAAAUUUAAAGGAAAUUAAUCAAUCAAUGUGAUACUUUAAAAAAAUUGGGUAACAAGUAAAGAACCCUUUCUUUUCUUUGUUAUUUAAUGGUGUUGGUUCCUUUCAGAAUGCAGUUGUUCUAAUUCGAGGGGAAGUAAAUGCAGGUUUAAGUGAAGUAUGAACCGUACAAAAUUCAUCAAUUUCUGUAAAUUUGUAUAACCCCCCCCCCCCCCAAAAAAAAUGUUGAACAGAGUAAGUUGCAUCAAAUAGAAAAUGAGUAAGAGUUAUGAAUAGACAAGCCAACAAGAAUCCCAUUUUCUUUUGUUUUCUAGCUUGUUUAGAUAGUAUGAUUACUCCAUUUGUGUGAACCUAAUGAAAUAUUGAAACAAACCCAUUUCUUUUCUCUUGAAACGAAAGAAACUUAAAUGUAAUAUAUGAAUAGGAGGCUAACAGCAUUGAUUCUCUUGCUGUCUACAAAGAUUUCGAUUACUCGUUUUGUUUGAGUAAUCAUUUAGCAGAAAACAGAGUUGAGUAUCACCUCCUCCAUUUCCCUAUAUAUGAGGUGUCCCGUUUCUUUAAUGCAUGGGAGGAAAAACUGUUAGCCAAAUACCAUUCAUGAUAAGACAUAUCAUAUUAAGAAAUAAUUACAUAAUUAUUCAUGAUAAGACAUACCUUUGCUGGUCCAUAGAUUAAAAAGAAAAUGAGAUUUUUGAAAUAUGGCGGUAAGUUGAUGGUUAAAGUGUUGUUGUUCAAUGUCUAAACGGGUGUGAUUAUGUGACCAAAUUAAGAUAAUGAAAUAGAAAAUUGGUUAUAUUAAUCAACUCUCUCUUGUGAUUUGCAAAGCUGAAACUCCUCUCCCCUGGGACCCAUAUCAUCAAUUGCUCCUUGUUUAAGGAAGAAUCUCUCAGAUGAGCCAAUCCAAGACAGGCGCUCUUAUUGACCACCUCUUGUACUUUUAACACUAGCUGCAAUUUUGUGUUCCGCUUGCGAUAUUUUGUGAUCCUCAUCUUCAUUCAUUCACUUGCCAUUUUCGUUUCAUUUGUUUCUUGCCGUUGGAGCUGUCAACCCAUGGCUGCUGAGGUAAAUAGUUCUUCUUCUUAUUGGUUGUUUUCUGUUGAUCAUGAAUGUGAACUUUUUUUUUCGUGAAUUUAUGUUUUGAUUUUCUGGUAACCAAGAAUCGGUUUCUGGGUUUUAGUUCCUUUAUGUUCUUGGUUUCUUGCUCAUAUAUUUGGUGGUUGGGAAUAGUAACUGAAAGAUUUUGGCCCCUGGUUAUGCUGAAUGUCACCGCUGUCGCGGUAAUAGUAACUUGCUGUUUACUAAUGAUAGAAUAAUCUAAAUUUGAAAGCUUUUCAUAAUUCAUACUAUUUUCUUUGGAAACAUAAAGGUGUUAUCAUGGCCUUUUCCUCUUCCUGAUUCACGGGUUUCUAGAGAGAACCUAAUUAAGGUAUGCUUAAAUUUAUGGUGUUUUAAGUGGAAUUACAACCAGGACUUUAUCUCAGUGCUUUCUCUGGUUAGCACUUACUGAUCUGUGCCGACUGUCUUCUCUGGUUACCACUUACUGUGUCGUUGGUUGGUCGCAGCUUAGAUUUUAAUCCAUGCUUUUGAUGUUCUAGCAGCACCAAAUGUAGUCAAAACAGAAAGAAUCUCCGGACCCUGUGUUUAUUACUUAUCUAGUUUGAAGUUAAAUUUGUUAGUAUUUGAUGCAAGAGAAAAGGGGUGAUGAAUGUUCAUUUGAUAUUAACUAGCAUGUUUGAUUACAAAGGAAGGUCCUUAAGUAACAUUGAUGCCUCUGUUUCAUCAGAAUGGGCUCUUUGGCUUGUGUUUGGAGGGUGAAACUGACAUUUAUGAUUUAUGUGAUAAGGAAUUUGACACUAAAAUGUCAUAAAAAACUUUUUGAGUUUGCCAUCCCCCACAUGGCUUUAGCCAAACUUCCUUUGUUCAAUCUCUUUCAGUUUUUUGAGAAGGAUUAUCAUUGAACAUUUGAAUGCUAAAUUUUGAAUCGAUUACCUUUUCCCCAGAAUCAUGAAACGUCCAAUGGUUGGCCACUUGGACUACAGAUAAUGAAUAUAAGGCUUGGGUUACAACAAAGGUUACAGGCUGCGGCUCCAGCUGUGGAACUAUACUUUUUGCACAUUCCCUCUAGCAGUUUUUCCUCAUUCUCCUCUUCCAACCUUGACACCGAGGUAACCAACCUUUUCUUCCCCCAUUUGCUGGCUCAACAUUCAAGCCUUGCAACAAAUAUAUAUAUACAUAUUUAUUUACCAAUACAUGCUAUUUCUUGCAUUGCUACCAGUCCUCAGCAUCAUUUUUCCAAGAUAACAGCGUAUCCCUGGGGAAGCUAAUUGGAUAUGGACCAGGUGAAAGAGAAUCGUUGUAUUUACAGAACUCAAUCCAUACGGAUCAGAGCUGUAGGCUACCUGUAAGAGGUGCCUGCAACUGCAAGGAUAAAGGACGCAGUGCAGAUGCGUCUCAGUCUCAGGGGAUUUGUAUUCCUCUCCUACUAGGAGCUCUACUAAAGAUUACUGGAAACAAGAUCAAGUCAAAGCGAUUGGAAUGAAUCCAUUCCUCUUCUACCAAAUUCUUUUCUCCUGUGUUUCAUAAGUUAGUCAUUAAUACUGCCGUCAACCGUCCAACAGCACUAUCGAAUUAACAUAGGAGUUUGAGAAACUGGAAACUCGAAUGUUAUUUUCAUUUUAAGAUGAUCAAGUUCGACAUUGAUUUCAGGCAAAUGAUUCAAAAACAAAAGGCUAGUUAUGUUCUUGCUUAGCACAAAUGUUUGCGUUUUGACUUUUGUUCCAGAAAGCAAUGGCUUCCUCAAAUCACCACACAAUCCAAGUAAAACCAGAAUGCCAAAGGUUCAAAUGAAUACCAUUAAGCUCGACAUCACUUGGAAGCAAAUAUUUGAAGAACAAACGAGAUUCAAUAAAGCAUUUAAACCAACGACCAACUCGAUUUAGAAAGAUCUUACUAUCAACACUUAAAUUUCCAGACGCAAUUUGUUCACUAGAAAGCAGUCUUGUACAUAUUCCACUAGUACUUAAUCUAGACCAUUAGAUGUUAAAAAGUAUGAUGCAGAAGACCAACCAUCAGCAAGAUUUGUAUACCAAACCCAACACGUUCACAAUGAAAAUUGUACCAUAAUAGCAUCUCGCCAACAUUAUGAAGGGUAAACCAGAAUCAUCAGGUCAAUCCAUAAGAACUCUUUCGGUAUCCAGCAGCUUAGGUCUCAGCAAUCUCGUCAUUUUCAAGCACACUAACCAACUCAUACUCGACAAGCGAUAGAUUGUUAUCCUCUUUAACAACAAAGUUGGCAGGGUCAGUGACCUCGAUGCGGCCCCAUUUGUCGACAGCCAGCCUCAUAGAACCCUUAAACAUAUCGAUCUUCGCAUUACGAAGAAUUACAGUGUCAUCGGGCUUCAUCAAGUCAACUGCAAAAUGAUUCAAGCAUCAUCAUGGAGUUUAAGACUGAGCAGUUUAAAUGUAUAACCUCUGUAAAAGUGAAAACCAAAAACCAAAGCAAAAUACGAGUUCACAAUUUUUGCAAUUGUGAGAACGCGACAAUUUCACAGAUAGGCCACCAAGUUUUACUAUGAUUAAUAAAUUAAGGAUUUGAACGCCAAUUAAAUCCAAUGUUUGGUUCUUGAUUAAUUUACCAUAUCUCUUCGAGAGUUUCUUAAAAAGUUUCAUAUUGAGAAAUAGAAUAAAAAACAUUAACACCAUGGCAAAUCAACGAUUAAUCAAGAAACUCAAUUCGUGUAACAUCGCAAUACUAAAUAAACCUUAAUUAACAGCUAGAUCCUAGAUCAUAUCAAAUCCACACUAGCACCAACAAAACAACGAACAAAAAAUAAAAGCUUCUGAAUGCCACUGUGUUUCAUAUAAACAAGCCAAAAAAAAAAAAGAACGGAAAGAUCAUAGCUUUUGGAAUUAAGGAUGAAAUAAAACGUACCCUUUUGAGAAAAAUUAAGAUCCGAUCGGUAGAGCAUAAAACUUUUUUUAAGAAACAGAAAAAAAAAAAAAGAAGGGUUAGAAAAUUGGACCUUGCUCAUUACGAGCAGUGAAGAGGACAGUGCCGGUCUCGUCUCCGACAAGGCACUCAGCGAUGCGGGUUUGGCGGAGAUUUCGAGAAGCGGCUCGACCCUUUUGAAGGACCAUGUUAGAGGACAAUACCUUGGCGACUAAGGUGUGGCCUUUUGUCCCUGGUUUUAGCUGAUCUACUUUCACAAACACCGGCUUUCUCUUCUCCGUCGUUUUAUUUUGUUGUUGUUGCUGCUGCUGCUGUUGUCCUUGUCGUUUUGGCUGCCCUGUCGUCGCCAUUGUUUCAAAUUGACAAAACCUCUUCUCUUCUCUGCUUUUCUUACUUCUUUCAGAGCUUGUGGGAGAAAGAGAAAUGGGGUAGCCCUAGAAGUAGAACAGAAAUUGAAGCAUUCCUACUUUUCUCUCGAUGGGAAAGUAAACGAUGGCGUUUUAGCUACUUUAAAAAGAUUGACUUUGAAGCCAUUUUUCUUUCUAUGGAUUUGUCUUAAUAUUUAUUUCUAAACUACAACUAAUGAAAAUGACUCUACAAAUCCUUUGUUACAUGAUUGAUGAAAAUAAUCAAUUAUGGUAUUUUCCAUCAAUAAUUAAACGUCAUUGUUUCUACGAAUAACUGCAACUUUUUCAUUCUUGAAAUAUGGAAGUGGGUAUGGCAUGAAUUAUGAAACACUCCAACACCCAAUACUCCUCUGAAUAAUAAUCAACAAUCAUUAUUUUAUUACAUAAUUAUCAGUUAUCUGUCGCUUUAAGAUCAAAGUCCAAUUAUAAGCAUUUAGAGGGUGCUCUGCUCCUGUACCAAGAAAAACACUGCAUUCAUAUUCAUUUGUCGAAUGAAUGGCCUUGGGCCAAUUGAUAUAUCUAUCCAUUAUUCAAGGUAAUAAUUCAAAUAAAUGGUGUACAGUAUAUGAUAACAUUUACUUACAGAGCGAUACAAAUAAUGCGAAAUUUCUCACAUCAACAUCAGACUUUCUUCUGAAAUAACUGUUAGCAAUGAAUACUUAGCUUUGAUCGAAAUUCUGCCACCUUCUACACAGAGUUUGGCUCCGGUUACCACCCAAUAUCCAGGUGUAUCCUGAGGUCCUCUAACUAUCUCCUUUGUGUCCACAAAGUUUGUCAUUUUGGGUGCUUUGGUUGGUGAAGGUGGACCACCUGGAAAAACUGCUGAAUUUAAGUCCACUUUGGUCGGCUUCUCAUUUGGAUUCAGUCCUGAACUGAACCUCGUGCUGAUCAACAUUGAGAACAUUCCAGAUUUCCGUGACAAUGUUGAGGGUCCAUCCCAUUCUGGUCUACGUAGCCUGGCAGAGGCCACCAUGGAGAACCCAAGCCUCAGGAACAGAACUUUCCUCAUCCCAACAACCUUUACCUUGAACCAAGCUUUGGUCACGAUAGGAGCAGUACAUUCAAAGUGGGCUCCGUUGUAGUGUACAGGGGCAGUGCAUACAUGCGAGAAUAUGCUCCACUUGACAGGUUCCAAAUACCCACGUUCGGGCUCAACGAUCGACUCAUAGCUGUGGUCAUCUGAGAGCGGGAGGAUUGUAGGGAGAGUUGAGAGAUGCUGAAGAUGGAUUGCUAGAUGGUCACUCUUCUUACCCUCCAAGUAUAGGCGUAUUCCUGUCACCGGUCGUUUUCCAGUAUCAACCUGCAAUUACGGAUUUGGAACUCGAGAAUCGGUGAAAUAAGAAUAGUAAUCACAUGCAUGAUUUAUGCAGAUUGUUUUUGCAAUUAUAACCAUUUUAAUCCGUGGCAAUCAUCCUGCAACAUCAUUAUUUUGGUUCUAACAAAAUUAUUUGACCCCAUUUUAGUGUUACAUUGGUAAAAAAGGGAAACCAGUCGAUUGUAUUAUGAGCUCAAAAAGCAAGCACUUUAUCAGCAUGCUCAGAAGCUUAGAUGACAUUAAAUAAAACGACAAGUCAAUCAACAAUCCAAUAUCAACACUGCAUCUACAAUGGUAAAAAUGUUAAGCAUGGCUAAGCAAGCAGUCCACCAAGGGGUUCAUGUAGAGUUGAUGAGGAAUUCGGGUAGAUGCAUUUAUAAAUUUUCAGACACAAUCAUUCCAAGUAUCAACUAUCACGGAACUUCACUUAAGCAGCAAACAAUCAUAAAUAACUACUAAAAUGUCAAAAGAAAUGGCGCAAGUAAAACUGUGUGCUGCGAAAUGAUACCCGUGCAGUAUUAACAUAAAGCUUAGGCCCCAUAAAAGUGAACUGAAGUGAUGGGGAUGAUUGUUUUCUGUGCUUGAGACCAAGAGGCAGAUCACUGUAUACGGGAGCCCAUUGUCGAGGUAUUUGAAAUUCGAGAAAUACAUGGAGUUCCUCUAUCGGUGGUUUAUCUGCAUGAUAUUAACAAUCAUUAGAAGCCAAAAUCAGAGCACACAUAAGCACCAUAUUAACAAAGAAGGAUGCAGUUAUAUGAUUUGCGAAAACAAUGAUCUUCCAUAUACACCAACAUUCACUCAAAAUGAAACAACUAGGAAAUCACUGUCCGCAAAAACUUUGAAUUUAAUGUACCUUAUAAUUUAUUAUAGAUCUUCAAGGAGCAUAAACAAUCCCAUUUUUUACAAGAGUAGUACAAUGUGCCAAAGUAUGAAUAAAUUGUAAUUCAAAAUAAAAAUAUUGCAUUUGUGAAGUAUUAAUAUGUAAAUGAACUAAUUAAACCCCAGCUAACAGGGAAAAAUCCAGUUUACAGAAAUUGCCCUUAUGUAAUCUAGUGCCAUCUAGACAUUUAGCCUCGGAAAAAACCAAACUAACGGUAUAACAAGUAUGCAAACUCACAUCGUAGGUACAAGUUCACUGCAUGGCUUAAAAAUCCAUUUCCCCGUGCACAGCUCAGUAGAGAAGUAAUAGGCACAAGGGAUAUUGAUAUGACAUUUGGUGACUGCGAUAUUGUUGACAGCCACUGGCUAUGACUUUGACCGAAAUCAAUGCCUCCCCUACGAAUAUAGAUAUUCAUAAUGUCCUGCAACAAAAACAAAAAUCAAAUGGAGUCGUCACCUCUACUAAAAGCGGGGUGCAGGUGUAAUUCCUAAACAACAGUUAAAAUAAAAACCAUCAAACUUACAUUAUUCUUUGAGCAAGUGACAACAGGUGGCCUCAUUGAUCCAGCGAGCACCCCUUGAUGAAGUUGCCCGGGAAUAUAAUGUUCUCCCUAAAGCAAUCGAUGGAAACAAAUUAGUGAGAAAAAAUUAUUUCCAAAGCCUUGCCAACAGUGUUCUUCCAUGAACUAAUAUGUAGAAGGGGUCAAGUAAUAAUUAGUUUGAAUUGUAAUCCUUCUAUCUCCUAUAUGGCAUUAUCGUUACCUUGAUUACUUAUUGCCAAGGAAAUUUUACAGUGCAUACUGAACAUUCCCCCCGCAAUUAUCUAAAAACUGUAAUUUUGCCUACCUACCCUAGAAUGCAAAAGUGAAUAGAAUAAUAGGCAUGCACAAUUCAUUCAGAUUUUUAAGAUUAAAUGCACCUUUGGUUUUUCCGAGAAUGGAGAAGUUCCUAUAUUUUCUGAAAAUCUCUCAUCAGCUAAUUGCUUUAAAGUUUUCUGCACUUCAUUGGGCUGAAGAUUUGAAUUUUGUAAUUGUUUUACAUGUAUAACAUCUUUACCUCCCAUUUUAACCCCAACAACAACGUGAGUACCAUAUUUUUCAAUGAACCUGGGAAAAACCAUGAUCAGCACGGGUUUAGUACAAAUUAUCAAUACUACUAACACACACGGUUAACGUCAAUGGGAGCACUAAAUUUAUAAGUGCAAUUGCUUUGCACAUGUUAUAAUCAGAUUCAUCAAAAACAAAGUAAUCAUAAUUCUUUCCCGGGGAAGUUUUUUACUCCAAAAGGUUACGUAUAUGACGAACUUACUCAGCAAUGGCAGCAGGGUCCCAUGUAGUAGGCACCUCUUGUUUCACACGCUCGGACAAAGUUAUGUUUGUUCUUUCCAACUCAACAUUGUACAGUGUUAAGAACCAACCAUCAUAGGCAAGACCUUUUGCGGCACAGGCAUCCUUCUGCCAGCAGCCUUUGAACUCGAACAUGGCAUUGAAUAGGCCGGAAGGAAUCUUGCCGGAUAAUGAUAGAUCCCGAUUGAACUUCUCUGACAUCUAGCAUAAAAUGACCCCCAAUUUAAUUUCAAACAAAUCAAGCCAAGUCUGAAGAAAAAAGAAAAAACUCUCCGGGGCUUUCUUUUUCUUCCUGAUUUUCUAUUUUCUAAUCUUGAAGGAUAGGGAUGCCAUUUUGUUAUUUCUUUGUGGACAAGUUUAGUUGCAAAACAACUUCCAAAGAACAAAGAUAUGCAAGAACCAGCAAAAAGAGCAUAAGCAAGAAAAGAUAAUCAUAGGAGCUCUCUUGAAUACUCUGGAACUUUACAUUAUAAAUAAUACAAAUUGUGGACUCUAAAUAUUGAAGCAUAUUCAAAUUUGCGAAAAUUUUUCCCUCAAAUAGAAAACAAAGCACAAACCAAAAUUAGCAAACAAAAAGCAAAACUUCCCUAUAAUUCUAAUAUUAUUAGUACUAGUAACUCUCUCUUUUUCAUUUAUUUAAACAGUACUAAACCAGCAAAAUAAACACAAAUAUACCAAAGGAAAAGGUCAAAAACUUACCUGGCUAAAAGAAAGAACAUCAGAACGAAACCUGGUACGCUCGCCUUUAUCGUAUUUAAUCGAAUUGGGGACAUCUUUUACAACAACUCCAUCAGGAAAAACCAGGUCCCGAGUCGCUGCUGAGUCAAGUUCGAUCAAUCUGGAGCCGGAAGGGCCAGGCAGGCAGGCGGAUAGCCUGACAUCCCUGCACAAGUCGAAUCCGAAACCGAUAACUGAAACGGCCUUUUCAGCCGCCGAUUGCGGGUCCAUUUGAUAAAGAUUCCCGGGCAUGGAUUCCUAAUGAGACGGUAGCUGGAGUUGCGUGUGGGUUUUAGUGAAACUGGGUAUGUAUUAUGGGGUUUUACCCACUGCUGAGGAAGGAGAUGGCCCAUUGAAAUGGUCUUCGGUCCGAGUUAUUUUAUCGAUUUUUAAUUUUUAUUUUAAAAAAAAUUUGCCUGUUUCGGGGGGGAAACAGAGAUAUGAAGGUGACGUUCGAAACUAUGACGUUUGACUUGAGAGUUCAGACAGACAGAAGCUAAUGUAAACAAGGGAAGUUUACCAGUCGGCUGGCGUGGAAACUAACUGAAACUGCAUACUUGUUCCAGAUGGAAACGUGUUUGGUAAAGUUUGGCUUUUUGAAUGUUCAAAAGAAACUAUAAAUUGAUUAAAAAGAAAAAGAUUGAAAAGUCAUUAAUAAAGAAAUCAAAUGCAAGGAGCAAAUUUCUUUCGGUACCCUAAGUUACGUAUAGACUUGACUUUGGGGAUGGUUCCGAUGGCGCUUUCAGGAAGUUCAAACGAACUUUUGUCGAGAAUAAUCAAAGAUGAGCGUUUUUAACACUCCCAAUUUUCAACUUGUGGAAUAGUUAAUCUAUGAUGGGAUCCAUCUGAGAAAUUUUCACCCCCCUCGAAACUUGGAACGAGGCAGUCCCUUUCCUUACUAGCUAGUCCCAAUAAAUCAAUAUUAUCUAACAUAAGCUAUAACUAAAAUCCACCCCCCCCCCCCAAAAAAAAUCAACACGCUUGUUAAUAUAUUGGACUGAAGUAUUAAAGCCUGCCUAAUCUAUUAUAAUCCAAUGAUUUGUAGUAGCUUUAAACUUAUGAUGGGAUUGAAUGCAGGAUGCUUUAGAUUCUAUUGAUACAAACCUACAUAUUAUUUGAUUACAUGUAUCGAUUUAACAUCAAGAUUUAAUUCAUUAUCCUUGGUAAUUAGUUUUUUCUUUUUUGAAUUAUAAAAAGAAGAUAAUGUCUUAAUAAUAAAAUAAUUAGUGUAACUCGAACCCAAGUCAUAUCUAAGAGGUGUAUAUCCUGAUGAUCAGGUCAACACAAAGGGUUCGAUAAUUGAUAUUAUCAGCAUCCUCAAUAUUUAUUGGUAUAUUUUAUUUAUCAAGAGAGUUAUCUUGUAAUUAUAUGAGAGGAAUAUCAAUGAUUAAUUAAUCACAAUAAAUUCACUGAUAAAUUUUAUCAAUAUUUGGAUGUACAUUGAAAAUAGUUUAUGUGAAUUUAAGAAUAAUUAUAAUAGUGAGAUUAAUUACUUUAGCAAGAUGUUAAAUAACGUAGUAGUAAUAUUAAAAUUAAUAGUUAUAUAUAUAUAAAUAUUUGGAUUCAAAUGCAAGGAUGAGAUAAUAAUAAUAAUAAUUUUUUAAUUUUUUGUCAACAUAUUAUAAAUAUGUCGUUAUAAAUAAAAUUUUCAAUAAAAUAAAAUAUAUUAAUCCCAUAUAAAAAAAAAUGUAUGUAUUCAUUUCCUAAAAUGUGUCCAAUUGAACCAAAAUCAAAAUUUCGCAUAUACAUAUGAACCACAAUUCAAGUUUCAUGUGUUUAAUUGCACCAUAUAAAAGUUCAAGUAUCAAAUUGCACAUUAGACCAAAAUUUAUGUAUAAGUUUAAUAUUUAUCUAUUUAUUUUAAUAUUUUUUUACAUUAUUCUAAGUAAAUAAAUAAGUAUUUAUAAAUGUUCGCAUUGAUAUUUAACAAAUAAAAUUUCAAUAACUUCGUUUUAUGUACGUUUAUAUAAAUAUUUUAGUUAUUUAUUUAUUUUAGAUUGUUGCAGACUUGCAAUAGAAAAUAUCCAAGGUUAAAAAAAGAAAAACAUAUAAUUUAAAAGUCCAAUAUUUUUGUCACUAAAGAAAUUAAAAAACUCACUGUCUCCCAUCGGAGACUUGAGCUCCACUGAAAAAUAUGAGAUGAGUUUGCUCAAUCACAGCUCACUAAUAUUAUUCAAACACCAUACGAUGGUUGAUUUGUAAAUUUUUUGUCUUGAAAAUUAAGACAGCUUCAGUUGUAUCCAAAUGGAGCUUGACUGUGUCAUCCCAAGAGCUUUUGGUUUUCUUUUUGUCUUCUUUAAGAGUGGUUCUUUCCUUUUCCGUCGCCAAGUCUUAAAAGUAAUCAAAGAGUUGGAGUUUUACUCGCUUGCAUGGCCAAUACGGUGCUUGACUUCAUUGAUGCUACUUCAAAGUAUGACAUGCAAUAACAUAAAAAUAUUUGUUCUUGGUUUUCCGAAUUAAGAACAAGCCAGAUAGUGUGUAUACUUAAAAGAAGUUAAGAUUCGAGUAUUUAAUUAUCCUAUAUAGAAAGCCUUUUUCCAGUGCUCAGCAGAUGUAACCAUAUAUGGUUUCUACUCUAAGCGUGCUCUCUCUCUUUUGUCUGCUCUACUUAUAGUCUAUCAUCUGCAAGAUAAAAAAAAAAUUUAUCCAUAUAUCCAUAGUAAACGUGUCUUUCUGGGGGGUUUAGAGAGUUUGGCAACAACAGUUGGCCUUAUGUAAUCUUGAAUUUUUCCUUAUAUGUAUAUGUUCAAUUUCUCAAUUUCUUCCGCUAUUUUUACUUGUUCGAUCCCAAUUUCAUUUUAUUCAACCUUGACCGUCAAAAAAGUUGAUGCAUUCAGCAAAUAACAGCUUUGUUCGCCAAAAACGUCGCUGCGAUUAGUAUUAGCAGAUUCAGACUUUGAUCAAAUUAGCUUUUCAGUGCCCAAGUACUGAAGUCUCUCACACGUUUCUGAUAAAACAGUAAGAACUCCAUUGCUAGCUGUGUUGAGCCUUGGAUUCCAUCGGGUAGUGUUUCGACACAAUUGUCAUGCAAGUGCAAAGCAAAUAAAACUAAUUCAAAUCAAAUACUAAUGGCCAACCAGGUGGAAGUACCAAAUCAAUAAAGUAUAUAAUAUUCGCUUAAAUAAAAUUAUCCAAUAUUUGAUAAAGAAGCAUCCUCAUGCAGACAACAAUAGACCUGUGAAAAACUCUUCCUGCACCGACAUGAAAAAAAAUCGGGGGGAUAACUCGAAAAACAUUAAUGAUUGUUUCAGCCGCUCAAGUGCUAUACUAUUGCACUCUUUCCUGCAAAAGAAAUUAAACUUCAAGGUCAUAUCAUAGAAAUCCGAAGGAUCAACCCAUGCCAAGAUGUGAGAUGAAAGAUCAGCCACCGAGCUAAUUAUAUAACUUUGAAAAUGUUAGAAGCCUCUUGUGAUCAGAUGAAUUAAUUAUUAGCUUCCUUAGUUGUUCUUGAUUCCGAGAAGCUUCAUGGCAACCUCCCAGGUGACGAUUGCAGCUGCAUUAGCAGGAAAAGCUCUCAGUAUAGUAGGACCCAGGCCUGUGUAGCAUCCUCUAAGUCCAGACAUCCGAUAUAUCUACAAGGCAAGGAAACAAUUAGAAUAUCCUCUGUUCCUUUCAAUAUUAUUUUGAUUGUUACAAAACCUCCACCAUGCUGCUAUCCAUCUUAUUGUGCUAGAAAAGGCACAUUCAGAUCAUCUUACCGAAUUUAAAACUUGAAACGGAUUUGUCAGAGAGCUUUUAUCUGGAGCGGUCUGGAUAAUGGUUUUUGCCACAUCCAAAGGUAACACAGUUGACCAGAACUAAGAAAAAACAAAUAAAGAAUAAAACUAGAUAUAAAUAGACCAUAUCAUAACUCAAAAUUGAAAAAUCAAUAUGCAAGGAUGUCAGAAUGCUUACAGCUACACCACCCAGACCACCACUCAGAAUUCCAAUUCCCAUAUCAACCAAAUUGUUAUGGUCAGAUGAACCAGAUUUUAGCUGUAAAUGCAUAUAAUAGCGGACAUAUUCAUACACACUAAAAAAUACUGCAUUUCCAAUAGAUUCCCUUAAAAAUGUUGUAGAGCCACCACGAAAGGCGCCUGUAACCUGUAACCUGUAACCUGAAAGGUGUUCCAUUAGUUUAAAUCACGUACAAAUUAAGUUGCCAAAAGGCAGAGUAUUUCUCACCCCAUCACUUUUUAUGGUUUUUAGUGCGCAAUCAAGAGAACUACUGUAGCCACUGCACUUUGGAACCAAAGAGUCAGUACCUUGAAUUUGCAUCCUACACUGGAGAAGCCCAAUGUCAAAAGCAUGCUUUGGGAGAAACAAACAGUGAUCUGCUAUCAAUUAUCAUAGAGCAAGUACUAGCGGGGCAUAGAAACUAAUUCUUACCUUCACUAGCUCUGAUGGACAUAGAACAAAACUGAUAAUAGCUCCAGCGAAAGCAGCAGAAGGAAUUAUUACUUGGGGCUGGGGCCUGCUACUCUGAACUCCUCCCUUAAUUGGCACAAAAAAUCUUUUUAAAAAAUAAUUUAAAACAUUACAAUGUGUUGGAAACAUGCCUAUGAUAUUAUUAAAACAACUAGUUCCCAAUCUAGUUUCUGCAAUAGGAGUUUCAUGGAUGGGUAUAUCACCUCCAAUUCCCUGUAAUACGAACCUGCAGUGACUGUUUUGUUUGCGAAUAAAUGCCAAAAAGAAGUGAACUUUCAAAAGCCAUCCCAACAAAAGAUGGCGUUGCCCCUAUAUAAAGUCCUCUAACCUGCCAAAGCUAAUCAUGAGUUCUCCAAAAAAGAAAAAAUUCAAAUAUGUUAAGAGUAAGGGAGAGAGUAACAACCAUGUAUAACAUAUACAACCAAAAAAGUGAACCAAUGAUUUAUAUUCCACAGACAACCUUGUACAUGCUGAAGUAUCCUCUCAACUUACGUAGUAGACCAAAAUCUUGGUUCUAGAAUUGCAGCUAUAGAUAUUGAGAAUUUGUAAGAAUCUUUCUUUAUUCUUUCUUUUCCCUUUUGGACAUAUACAAAUUGCAAAUUCUCUCUAUCUUCACAGAUUCAUGGAUAACUUCAAUUACUUUUUCCAAUAUUGACAUUUACAUUUUUAGAUUUUAGGACAUUAGCAGACAAGAUCCAUUGUAGGAAUAAACACAUAACAAGCUUGUCUGUGCAAAAUGUUGAAGUCUGAGAUAGCAGAACAUUUAGCUCAUUAUAUCCUACUGAUUCAUUUUGCAUUUGAACAGAAAGAAUCCCUAUAAACAAAAUCAAUAGGUCUUUGAGUUCAAGAAUGACCAAAAGUCAUAAACAAAUAACAUGAUCUCUUUCCACCGCAUGUAUUUAUCUAGAUGCCAGUGGUCUAAACUCUCAGCAAAGGUAGCAUUUGGUAUGAUGGAAAGUAGUCACUUUCCUAGGAAUUUAAUAAGUUGGAAAAUGAUUCCAACGUUUGGUAUGUUAGAUUUUAUUUACUUUUCUUGGAAUCUAACUUUCCCUUAAGAAUUACUUUCCCGUAAAUAUGGCAAUACGAUUCCCAUGAUAAAAAGGUGGGAAAAUUACUUUCCCAUUCCCAUGUAGAUUGAAAAGUUGAAAAAAUAUUAAGACAAAUUAACCCUAUUUUAUAUUGGAAAAACUAUUGUCUUCUUCCUUUGUCCUACUACUUGAUUUUCUCUAUUACUUCCACCAGAUUCUUCCUACAAUUUUAAUCAAUACCUUCCAAUAUAUUAACUUCCUCAGUAAUCACAUUCCCAGCCAUCAUAUUCCAUCGAAUCACAUUCCAUAGGAAUCAUAUCAUGGAAAAGCACCAAACACUACCAAAGAGCAAAUUUACGAACAGGGUUCUUGAUGGUGAAAAGAAAAGAACAAGGAUUAAGGAGCAUACCCCUUCAGUUGCGAAUAUCCUAGCAGUGCAAUGGAAGCCAUUCCUAUAUGUAAUCCCCUGCACAUUAGUAUUGUGUUUCUGCAACUUAACCUGACCAAACAACCGUAGAUACAAAAGAAGCUUUACUAAUUGUUACGUUGUCAACAAAACCAGGAAGCAAUAAAUAGAACUUAUCUUAAAGGAAACUAAUCAACAUUUACAUGUUCCCAAAGAGGAAAUUUUCCGAUUUUUAAAUUCGAUGAUUGAACCCACAUUCCUAGCAACACUAACAACCUAGUUAAAUUGGUAAUUGUUACAACUUAACAAACAUAAUCCUUCAAAAAUUUCCGAACCCAUAUCUAAAAAAAAAGGCUUUAUUUUCCAAAUUUUUUAGGAUGAGAAAUGAAAACGAUAAGAAAGAAGUUAUACCUUGACAGUGUCGAAGGGGUGACCGACGACGACAGUCGCAACACCGGCGAACAAGCCCGCGACGUACUCUUUGUAACUGUAAGGUUUGCGACUGUCUUCCAUGACCAUGUUUUGGUAAAUGUCUAAAGCCUUUUUUUAGUUUGACAGUAAAAAGAACAUCGGAGAUUCGGUCCACUCCGCGCCAGAUCCUAUAGAGCGAUUGUGCGAGGGAGAGCUACAGCGAAAUCCUCGUCAAAAUCUCGAGUAUCAAUAAUCUAGAACUAAAUUACUACUAUAUGUUCUAUCUUUUUAUUAUUAUUAUUUUAAAUAUAUAUUUCAAUUUUUUUUAAAAAUCAGUUGAUAAUUCAUUAUGUUUUGUUUUUUAUUCUUUUUAUUAUUUGUAAUCAAAUUUCAUGUAAAAUAUGAUAAAAAUUUUAAACAUAAUUUAAAGUAAAAAUAUGAAAAUAAAAAUACAUGAAAUGAUAUUUUAAUCAUCCAAAUAAAUUUUGAAAUAUUGAUUUUCUUACAUGAAAUAUUAACUUGUUAAUUGAAGUUGUAAACACUAAUAAGGAAGACUGUAAAAGGAAUUUAAGCAUUUUGUGACAACCAACUUUUCAAAGUCAUCAUUCAAUGAUGGAACCGAGGUCGGAAGAGACUCUAAUAGAGUAGAUGUAGAUUAGGUUUUGGUUUUGGUUUUGGUUUUAUCACAGAGAUAGUGGUUGAACAUACAUGUGAUCUGUCAGACACGUCAAUGACAGAAGUUAAAUAGGCAGAAAGACAAUAUGGUGAGUUAGCUUUAUUAGCACAAGAAGGGUGCCCCGUUCUACGGGUGAAUGAUCAUUCAAAUAAAACUUUUUGACACUGAUCCAUCUCUAUUUACAAAAGUCUUUAUUAAGAAUAAAUAAAUAAAACAAUAAAAAAUUAUUAAAAAGAAAAGGGGAAAAUUAAUCUAAAAAUUAGAAGGAAAAAAACAAAUAAACCUAAUCUAAAAAUAUGGAAAGUAAAGAAAAUGUUCAAGCCUCAAAAAUUCACUACCAAAAGUUUAUAAAGUAGUAUUUAUAAUCUAUUAACAUUUAAUCUAAUUUCGACAAUUAUGCCCUUAAAUGAAAACUAAAAUGAGCUUGUUUGGACAUAGCAAUUUUUCUUCACCCGUCAAACUUUAGUGUCGCGACAUCCUUGGCAGUGGACAUGAUAUUGGCUUGUGUCGCGACCUUGACGACAGUAGGCACAAGCUUGGUUUGGGGCACUUGGCAUCACGACACAGCCUUAUUGGUGUCACGAUUUCGAUGACAAUGUCACUGAGUUCCUUCGCUUCAACCAUUGGCUUGAAAUCACAACCUUGAGGGCUUGUAAUUGAGACUUUGAGGUUCAAUGUCGCGACACAACACAUCUAAUGUCGCGGCUAUAGUGGCAAAUUACUCCAGGUUGAUUUUUUGUUGAAGUUUGCUUCCUUUAAGUGAUGGAGGGUCAGUGUUGUGACACACAUGCACCAGUGUUGCAGCCCCUCCAACAGAUCAGGUCCUCCUUAAUGUUUGGCCAUAGUGUCAUCUUCCUACAUAAGCUCAAAUCAAUUAUUAAGCUCACAAUGACAUAGCUUUGUCAAUUUAGGUCUUAAAAGAGGUAAAAUAUAAUAAAUGUUAUCAUUAACACUAAAAUCUAAUAAUCAAUAAAAAACAUUAAAAAGACUCGUAAACUACUUAAAAAUAAGCUUAUUAAAUACUCAAAAGAACUUAAUUUAUCAUAUCAAAUUACAGGAAAUCAAUAACAAAAAAUAUAAAUUAAUUUUCUACCUUGUUUGAUUUUUUUAUACCAUCGGUAUUGUACGUUAGAUAUAAAAAAAUCUACAAGAGAUUUUAAUAAUAAUUAAAUUAUGGUAUUAUGUAAAUAGUUUAAUAAGACUUUGAUUAAAAUGAUAAAGUUGAAGUUUUGGAGAUUUUGGCACCAUAAAAUUCUAUUAUAUGAGAUUUUUUUUAAUUUAAGUUUAUAUAUAUAUUUAUAUAGAAUAUAAAAAAAAACAUCAUUAUAAUAAUACUUGUCGCAAUAUUUUAAAAAACAUUUUUAAGUCAUUUUCUAAUGAUACUCAAUUAAUUUAUGAUAUUAAUUUUAUCAAAUCUUAAUAAUAGUAUAAAUAUUUAUAUAAAUUAAUAUUAAUAUGAUAAGGCCGAUUAAAUUUAUAAUCACAAAAUAAUAAAACAUCAACUCUACUUAUGGGAUAAAUUUUAAAUUUAUACAUAAUUUUUUAUAUUAAUUUAAAAUUUAUGAAUCACCUUAUAUACUUAACGAAAAUUCGUGUGUAAUUUUAAAAAGAGUUAAAUAAUUAUUUCGGGUAUGGACUUGGCAACAACUUUCACAUUGGGGUUUAAUUUUUAAUCUUUAAAUUUGGUAAUUAUUCUCAUAUUGGGACAUUGACAAAACAAUUGUUCCUACAUUGGGGAUUGAAAAUUUUUUUGUCCAAGUUAUUCCAAAACUUGACAAUUAAUCCCACAUUAAGGGCUUGAACUUUAAGGUUUUCAAAAAAAUAUUAGGGACUAUUUGGACAAAAAUGUUCAGGUCUUGAUGCAAAAACAAUUGCCAAGUUAAAAAGCUAGCUUGGACAAAGAAAAGUUCAAACCCUAGUGUAACAACAAUUACCAAAUUUAAAAAUUAAGUUAAACAAAAAAUAUAUUCAAAUCUCAAAAUAAAAAUAAUUAUUAAAUUGAGAACUCAAAAAAUAAUUUAACCCUGGUAAAGAUAAACCCAACAACAUCAAGGUUGCCGGCAGCUUUAUAAGACGAGAACAUGAUGCUACAACUUGCUUUUUACAAAGUAUAGAUUCUAUCACUCAGGGUGCGUUUGGUUCGCUGUAUUGGAUUAGAGGUGUAUUGGAUUAGAGGUGUAUUGAGAUUAGAGGUGUAUUGGAUUAGAGGUGUAAUAGCUAAUCCACUGUUUGGUUGAAUGUAAUGGAAUAGAGGCGUAAUAGUAAUCUUGUGUUUGGUUGAAUGGAAUAGAGGUGUAAUAGCAUAAUGGAAAAAACUAAAAUGACUAGAAUACCCUUAGCAUAAAAUUGUUUUGGUAAAUGAUUAUUGUUAUUGUUAUUUAAAUUUUAAUAAGAUUAUUAUUAUCAGUAAUAAAUAUUUUAAUCAUAUUUAAACAUAAUUAUAAUUAAAUAUAUUUUAAUUAAAAUAUAUAAUUUAAUAAAAUUCUUAUAAUUAGCAGAAAAUUGUUUUGGUAAAUGAUUAUUGUUAAUGUUAUUUAAAUUUUAAUAAGAUUAUUAUUAUCAGUAAUAAAUAUUUUAAUCAUAUUUAAACAUAAUUAUUAUUAAAUAUAUUUUAAUUAAAAUAUAUAAUUUAAUAAAAUUCUUAUAAUUAGCAGAAAUUUGUUAUUGUUAUUUAAAUUUUAAUAAGAUUAUUAAUAUCAAUAAUAAAUAAUUUAAUCAUAUUUAAACAUAAUUAUUAUUAAAUACAUUAUAAUUUUGGUAUAUAAUUUAAUAAAAUUCUUAAUAAUUCAUAUUCUUAUAUGAAUUUACUCAAAUCAUAAUAUAUGAUACUAAAUGAAAAUUUGAAAUAAUUAAUAUUAAAUAUAUUUUAAUUAAAAUAUAUGAUUUAAUAUAAUUUAAAAUAAUUAUUAUUAAAUAUAAUUUCAUAAAAUGUUCUUAUGAAUUUACUAAAAUAAAAAUAUAACUUGAGAAUUAUUUUCUGCAUAAACAUAAUUAACUUAUACUAAGAAAAAGUUAGAUAAAAAUGAAAUUGUACAUCAUAAUCCAUAUGUUAUAUAGUUUUACAACAUCAAAAAGUUUGAACAUUGAUAUUUAAUGGUGAGAAAGAAAUCUUCUGACCCAUUCCAAUCGGGCAACAGAAGGUAAACUAAAGAAAACGAUCAUUUGAUUUGGAUGAUCGGGAAUUUUACUCAAAGCAUCAUACCGCUGAUCGUCGGUUAAACCUUCAAUUGACCAUAAGGCUGAAUAUAAAUUUGAAGCUUUCUCUUCCAUAUUCUCUUCUGACUUAUGUUGAACUACCACCUCGGAGGCAAUACUCCUACUGAUUUUAUCGCCAACAGCCUGGAUUUUUUCCCCCAACAAGGUGGCAGCCUCCUCAAAUGAAGAAUACACAUCAUCACGAGCAUCAGAUUUCUUUUAAAAUAAAUAUCGUAUAAGAUAUCUUUUUCAAUUAAUAAAAUAGAUAAUUCAUUAAAUUUUUGUUGAGAUGUUGUUAAUCUUCAGUAAGAUUUUAUCAAUUUUAAUUUUUAGAACAUUUUCUCCGUUGAUGCAACAAAAACAUGAGUAAUUAACAUUAAGCGCAUUUGAAAAAGGAACAAACUCUUUAUGAAUAAUUAUGUCAAUUGAGUGUCAUUUUAUAAUUUGAUAAUUUAUUUAAAAUAAUAUUAUAAUCAAUUUGAAUUAAAUAAGGAAUUUGAAUAUUAUUAAUUUAAUAACAAUUAUAUAAGCAUCGAAAUUGGAACUUGAGAGAAUAACAUCUAUGUUCAUAUCUUUACGUAUGACAACUAAUAUCCAUAUUACAACAAAAAUUUAAAAAAUUUAAAAAAUUUAAAAAUUUAGAAGAGUGGAGAUGAUGUUAGCAUAAUGGAUGGGUGCAGAAGAAAUUAAAUAAGGGGAAUGAAUGGGUAAUGUGAAGAAGAUGUGACUUGAAGAGAGGAAAAUAGAAGGAAUCAAAUUUCAAGAAUGAUUGGAUUUGGUUGACAAACUUUUCUAACAUUUCCAACAUUUUUACAUCACCACAAGAUUUUGUCUCCAAAUUUAUGCUUUGCUUAUCUCUCUUAUUAAUCUAUGUUGGAUUAUAUGUAAACACGUCCUUUUUCAAUCAAAUCUGCAAUUUCAAUUUCUUUAGUAAAACAUCUAUCCAAUUUUAUUAUAAAAAUUCAAAUCAAAAAAAUAUCCUAAAUGAUGCAUAAACUCGAACGACUUAUUUCUAAAACGACAUAUUAUACAAAAAAGAACAUAAACAAAUUUGGUGUCCUCCUAACUGUGAUGCUUUUGAACCGAGAGGAGGUGGAAGCGACAAAAUGAGUAAGCAACAGCCUAGCCGAAGCUACAACCCAAUAUUCCCUGGUCGCAAAAUUUAGAUAAAUAACAACAAAAGUUGAAAACCACCUUCAUUACCAUAAAGUAAGCUGCAUAUUUAGGAAAAGGAUCCAUUCAUCUGAAAUCUUCUUAUGUUUCACGCUAGUUUUAUAGGCUACUCAUGAACCACAUGAUAAAAGAAUGCGAAAAAUUCACCAAAAUCAUGCAAAUAAUCUUAGUAACAAUAUAAAAAAUCAAAUAAUUUAAUUGCAAAAAAACUUACAGUGACUCAGUGAAUACAAGAAGCUCAGUGAAUACAAGUGGCCGGAGGCGAAGCAAGCAAGGGAGGUUGGGACUGCACCAUAUUAAAAUAAAAAUACAAUUUCAAUAAUAAAAAUAGAAGAAGAAAAAGCGUAGAAAUUGUAGCAUGAAUUACUUCUUCAACUAUGUUUAGAAAAAAUUAUAAAUAAGGACAUACAUUCUUAGUAAAAAUACAAUUUCGAUAUCCAGUUCAGCUAGCAAUUAUAAAGCAUUCUCACAGCCGAAACAAUGUCCAGAAAUGCAAAAACAACACCAUUGUAGAUUUUUCAUUUUUGAUCGUGACAACAGAUAUACACGCCACUUUUGGGCAUCUACCGCUCCUUACUCUGUAAAUAAAAUCUGGAGUGGCAUUCAAAAGCAGGUUUUUAAGGGCCUUUCAAAGGUUUGCCAAAGCUUGUUCUUAGCACCAGGAUUUAAUUAAGUACAUUUCUAAAAUAAAAAGUGGUUAAAGAGUUUCAACAGUUGAUAGUACACAAAUGAGUCCUAUCUAUACAUAAUCUAACUUACAAUAAAAUUUAGCAGUGUUAGUUGUAUUGCUUUUGUCUUUGAAAAGUCAGUGAUUUAUUGGCAGUUUGCUGAGAAAGAUCAGUGUACCUUUCUUUCAUUUAUAUAUCAAGCCUUGCUAUACUUUUAGGCCCUGCAUUCAAGGCGUGUUUAGUGUUAGGUGUUAAUAAGAUAGAUCUUUGUGUUGUAGGAGUGAUAAGAUUCCAUUCGGAUAAAAUAUUUUAGAGCUCUACAUCUUCGAAGGCUUUUUCAGUGGGUUGUGAUUGCCAUUAUAAUUUCAUAAUGAAAUAACCAUAGGAAUCACAUCCAUGAAAACUACAUGGGAUUCAAUUCUUAUUUUCUUUCUCUUGCUUUGCAAUCCAGUUCAGUAACCCGUCUUGUUGAUUCCACACUUGGCAAAAGGCUCUCAUUUAUUUCUUUAAAUCUUAGAUCAAGCCUUUUUCAAUCCAUCACCAAGCCAGGAUUACCUAACAAUAGUAUUUUAACCACAAAAACCCAAUUGCAUUAAAUAAGAUACUUUUCACAGCCCUAUCGACAGUUUCCGUAAGUAAUUUUUCUUGACCAGCUAAGCAACCAAAUUCACACCAAAACUGUCGCAUACUUUAAACUCACAAAACAAUAUUAACCAUCCCCAAAGCCUCCAACAAAACAUACCCCACUGCUGUUCUACCUCAAUAUUAUUUCCAAAUUUCUCAACCAAGAUCUCUGUUUCAGUAUCACUUUCUUCCACUAUGAUUCCCCCCCUUUCAAUUCUCUCAUCAUCUAUUCAUCUCAGUUAACUACAUAAUAGCAGCAGACUGCCAAAGUUUGGUCUACUAUAGCUACCCAAUAAAUAUUACAAUCAUAUUUAAAAUACAUUAGCCACCCCCCUUUUUUUUUCUUCUUUCUCUCCUAUGUGAUGCAUGUUAUAUAGUUUUAUGUGUGUCGCAUUCUGCAGUCAAUUUCUAAUUCUUUACCCUCGUCUGUGAUCUAGCAGCUGCUUACCUAGCCUUCCCUCCCCCCACCCUAGGGGAACUAACCAAUUAUCUUAAAAGUAAUGAACCCCUUUUAUUUUUUUUCCUUUUAAUUUUAGCCAAGCAUUUCGGGAUAUUAAUUGUUCUUAUGUUCUUAGACACAAUUUACUUAUCCAGUUCAGUUAGCAAUAUACACAUGACUAGAAAGCAAGAGGGCAAAGAAAUUAAGUAAAUUAACCUCAAAAAAUGUACUCUUACAGGAAUCGAAGCUUUUGAAGCUUGCCCAGAGUAGAUGGAAUGUGCCCGGUUAAAGUAUUCCAAGAUCCUCUGGGAUUAUACCAGAUAUGUUAUUACUAUAAAGCUCCCUGUCAAAAAAAAAAUGGUAAUCUUCAGCAAAAGAAGUUCAAUAGAAGCACAUAAACCAUGCAUGUAUCUAUGAAAAUGCAACCAAAUCCAAUGGAAAGAUGACAACAGAUGCAAACCAUUGUGUAAUGACAAAAGCAUAGAACAUCAUUUUUUACAACUAUUUCUACAGGUAUACCUGAAUACCUCAGACAUUCUGGUCAGUUUUGGUUACUAGGAUGACAAAAUCAUGCUGGUGUUUUGUUUUUCCUUUAUGUAUGUCUCAAUAUUCUAACAAUGAGAGGUAGCAUGUAAGAAAUGAGUUAUCUAUUUUGGGGUCAACCAAAAUUAGACUAGGCCUACACUAUCGACUUACAAAUUCUACAAAGCCGGAAGCUGUCCAAGCUGUGGAACCAAAUGACCAGACAGAUGACAACAAAAUCAGUCGCUCUCAAAAUAAAACCAAUCAAAUGCAUAUAAAAUAACUUCAAUUAACACCAACUGCUUUCUUUUACACAACAAAUCAAUAAGAACAACAGAAGAACACAUGCAACCCCAAAUCCCCCUUAAAAAGGCUUCUUUUCCUUUGAUUAAUUAAUGCUUUUAACAAUUUAAACCCAAAAUGAAACAACUUCCAAUUCCCUGUUAGAACGAACCAACAAAGCCUAUAUACUUCAGUAAAAUGAAUGAUGCAAUAUAAAACCAAAAGAGCUAAAAAACUCAGUAAAUGAAUGAUAUUAAUUAGCAUACAAGGAAAAUGAUCAUAGUUUAUAUGAAGAAAAAAUACCUGAAACUAGGUGCAAACUUCUGGGUCUGUUAUCGAAAACAAAGAAAGAAAGGAGAAGAAUUUGGGGCUUCUGGGUUAAAACUUCAGUAUGUUAUAGAAAACAAAGAAAGGAGAUAAAUGCGAAGCAAGAAAUUGGGGCUACUGGCCGAAGGUGAAGCAAGCAAUGAAGGAGAUAAAGGAGAGACAAACCCAGGAAACAGAGGGCAAAUUAGGGCGUGACACUAAAACGGAUGUAAACUGAAGAGGAGCCAGGGAUUAGAAAACAGAGAUUUUCGGAGAUUAGGGCCGUAACGUAUUAGGGGUGUAUUAGCCAAUACAUUGAACCAAACAACUGCUUAAGAGGGGCUUAAGUGGGGCCCACGAAUUAGGGGUGUAUUGGCUAAUCCAAUAAUUAUUAAAUUGAGAACUCAAAAAAUAAUUUAACCCUGGUAAAGAUAAACCCAACAACAUCAAGGUUGCCGGCAGCUUUAUAAGACGAGAACAUGAUGCUACAACUUGCUUUUUACAAAGUAUAGAUUCUAUCACUCAGUUUUUAACUUUGUUUUUUUUUUUUUUUUUCAACUUGGCUAGAGUUCUUUAUCACAUACGAAAUGACGAAAUUUAGGACAUCCUAGUUAAAAUUCUAUCUAGUAUAUCAAUAUUAAAAUGAGUUGUUAUAAUAUCAUUCUCUAAUAUUUGGUAGACUCAAAAAUUGAGUCAAUUAAAUCAAAGUAUUCCCGUAUGAAAUAUCAGUUUUGUUUUUAAUGAAAAAUUUCAAUUAUUGAAAUAAUCUCCUCUCCUUCCCUGUCUUGAUAAAAAAAUAGUUAUAGUCCCUACUUUCCCAUUCCUUAAAAUGAUAUAUAUUCAAAUAUAUUAUUUUUAUAAAAAAUAUAUGUUAAAUUUUGAUUUUGUCGUCUUUAUGAAAUAAAAUUAAUUCAAAUAUGUAUUUUUAAAUGACAAUGUUUUGUUAAAUAAAAUUGGUAUAUAAUUUUACAAGAUUGAAAGUUUAGAUUUUCAAAAUAAAAUAUUUUACAAAGAAUUGUCAGAUUUUGCAAUUUUAAAUAAUUGCAACAAAAUAAAGUACAUUAGCCAGAAAUAGAAUUAGAGUACAUGAAGGAGGAAAAAAAAACUAUAGUUAUAAAUUUAUCUUUUGAGUAAGCACAACCUUUUUAAGUUUUAACUAACCUAAUAAACAUUAGGUUGUUUUUACAGUUAAACUAGUUUUAACUAACACAUUGUUAAUUUUGCGUCUCUUAUUUUUGUUUAAUUGCAACUACACAAUUUCACUAACAAUUAUAAUUUCAAUUUCAAUUCUAACCCGACCAAAUUACACUUAUACAAAAUUUUAUUUAAAAUUUAUCCACUAUAAUCAACAAGUAUCUGAUUUAGGCGGGUGAAAUUUUUUUGAUUACAUUGAAAGUUUUGACUAAUUCUUUGAUUUGAUUGUUGUAUGAAUUACUAAAAAUACUCAAAUGUAUUUGAUAAUUAACUCUAAUAACUCGAGUCAAAAUAUCUCAACUUGUAUUGAUUUAAUAGAACAAUUGUUAAAAUUUUUAUCAAAUAUUUAUUUGGUAUGAAUUCAAAUCAUGUUAUCCACGUCCCUAUCCCAUUAUUGUAGGAAAAGAAAUAUAUAUCCCAAUUAAAUAUGAUAAAUUACAAUAACCUAUCAAAUAUUCGUUGAAUUGUAACUACCAUUCUAACUAGCGCUAAUAACAGUCAUAUCAACAAACCAUUCAUGUCAUACUAGCUAUCUCAACGCUUAAAAGGAAAAAAAGAUAUUACCACAAAGGGGGAAAAAAUUAAAAGCCUUAAAAUUUUGAAUUUUGAUCUUUAAAUUAAAAUGUUUAUAUUUUAACAACGGGCUGUUAAUGAUGUAUUAACCAUAGUAUAUUCCUUUUAUAUAUAUAUUAUAUUUACCUUACGGUCCAUAUUUAAUAUUCGUGAUUGUUUCUCUCAACAAUAUUUUUUUUUUUAAAAUAUAAUGUGCAGAGGCGAAGUCAGAAUAAUUUUUUAAGGAGAUCGAAUAAAAUUUUAAUUUUUUAUAAUUUAUAUCUUUAUAAUUUUUAAAAAAUUAAAUUAAAAUUUUAUAAUUUUAAAGGAGACUAAGGAGUAAUUUUCCCUCCACUAAUUUAAAAUUUUUAAAAAACUUAAAGGGCCUAAAUAAUAAUUUUUUAUUUUAGAGAUCCGGCACAUGUCAACUCUUAUAUCCUUCUUAUCAUUGCACCCAAUGAUAUUCUUGAUUCUAAAUGAAAGUUAUAGGUCAUCAGCCUUAUUAUCACUUGAAAUCUACUUGAAUAUGUGCACUCGCCAUUUUACAAAGUAGUCAGUUCUAAUGGAAAUAAAUAGGUCCCCCAUCACACCAUUUUCGUAACCAUUCCUUGUCUAACAAAGGUAGGUCCAUAAAACGUACCAUGAGAGCGAAACCCUUAUCCUCUUCUCACCUCAAUAAUUGACCUUAAAAAAAUUAAAAGAUAAAUGGAGAUGAACCCCAAAAUUAAUUAAAUAUUAUUAAUGCUUUGAUUAAAUUAAAAUAACAUACUUAUGCACAUCAUUACACAUACCCCAUUAAUCUCUUUAUUUAUUUAUGUAAUAUAUCCGCCGCUCACGGUGGCAGCUUGAAUGACAAAGCAUCAAUAGCCACCGUGGGCUAGCGCACCCUUGGCCAACAUUACUUACAAAAAAACAAGGGCAAACUAAAGCUUUAGCUGUCAGCUCUUAAAACACCUUCUACGGUUACUCGAGACAUCAAAUAGCAUCAAGAGACAAAGACAGAGACAAAAUAGCACAUUGAAAAAAAAGAAAAGAAAAGAGAACACACUAUUUACAUGCAACCCUGGCUCACUAGAGCAGCCUGCUAGCCGCCUGUCAGUCGCCACCCUCUCAGCGAUGCUUGCUCCUGGUCUCCCCACUGUAAAGCCUGUCAUCGCAUGCAAACCAAGUGCUUUCAAUAUCUUGGUACACAGUUUUAGUUUUCAUACCCAGAAAUUAGAUUCAGCCCCUUUGAUCCAGAAUCGUAGUGAAAUUGAUUCAAAAAAGUCUAUAUAUCUAAAUAUUUCUUUUGAAAUAUCUAAUCUUUACUUAUUUUAAGCAAGUCAUCUAAUUUCCGUUUGUUAUAAAAUAAUUAAAGUUAAUAAUAAGAAACAACUAGUGUUAUACCAUAAAUGAGUAUAAGAGUGUAUACUGAUCAAAAGGAAUUAUUUCCACGCAGCGACCAAACAAAUAGCCAAGUUUUCCUUCAUGCUCUGUCUCUGAGCCUCCGUUUGGUUGCUGAGAAAACGUUAGAAAAAAAAAGAAGAAGGAAAAUCCUUGAGGAUUCUGCUCUAAAAUAUCUUGAUUUCAUUAUAUAUUUAUAUUUAGUGAUUAUCUGGUUAACCGUUGCUGUCACCCUUGCCAUGAUUAAUUAGAAUUCAUUUUUCUCAGCAACCAAAUAGAUAGAUUAGUGAAUGAUCAAAGCCCAAAAACCAAAAAACCAAGUGUCUAAAGAAGUAGCAGCCAGACAAAAUCCAUGCAUGCAUGGUACGAGGUAUACGCACCAGUCAUAGACGGUAGGAGAGUUAGGUUGUGGCUUGUCGAAAACUUCAGAACCUAUACUUUUGGUGGCGAGGUUGCUACCCGGAUGGAACACACUCCUCCACACGUUCUCCUUACGCGCCGUCGGAGUCGUCGGUGUCACGGGUGUCGGACCUGACACUGGACUAUUCGGCAGCGACAACGACCUCUGGUACUUUUUCCUUUCUCCUUCAUCUAACCAAAACAUAUUAACUCUCAGUCAGUCACUCAACAGUCAACAAAAAAAAAAUCAAAUCCAUGCAUAGUAUUGAUAUUUUUACCUUUGAUGGACAAAGGCUGGGUGGUGAUCUUCCUAAGCCUGCCGAGACCACGUUCAGGUGGAGGCCCAGCUACUACAUCGUCCCACAUUUUGUCUAGCAGAACCAUUUUUUCUUUCUUUUUUCUCUCUGGUUUCUCUUCUCUGUAAUGUAAUGUUUUUUAAGGGUAUAUGGUGAUAUUAUAUAUGGGUAAAGUUUUAGCUAAAAAAUAUCUCUCCCUCUCUCUUCCUACAAGGAAAAGGGGUUUCUUUUUGCUAUUUCCAAAUUUAUAAUAGUUUGGAGGAAAUUAAAUUUAAAGGCAAUUAAUGACGAGUGAAUAUUGGCAAUAGAAGAAUGAGGAGUGGGCAUGAUAUUACGUCCAAAGGAGAUGGAUAAGGAUGAGAAGAUGAGUGAGUAAAGGGGGGGGGGGGGGGGGGCAAAACAAUAUCUACCUUUAUUUAAUUCUAAUCUGAUGAGAGUGUUCAAGAGAGUAGGUUGAUAUAUUGAUUCAGAAUGUAACAUAUACAAUUGUUUGUCCUAAUCGUUAGAUCCAUUAUCGGGGGUCCACAAAAAAAAAAAAGAAAAAAAAGAAGUCAUGUGUUUGGAUGUCCCAUUCCCUUUGAUCACGCCAUUUCCUUCAUUUUUCUUUUGGUUAAAGAAUUAAGAUGUAAGUUAUGCUGUAAGUAUCUCUUUUAACUCACUGGAUUAAAAUAUAAAAAUGACGAAAAAAAAACUUUUCUAGAAAUCUAAAGAUAAAUCAUAUUUCUUUUCUAACAGCGUGUUUGGUUCGCCGUAUUACCCAAUCCAUUACGCCCCGAUUACGCGCGUAUUACAUUACGCCCCUAAUCCGGCGUUUGGUUCGCUGUAUUAGCCAUUACGCGCGUAUUACAUUACGCCCCUAAUCCCCAAAUUCCCGUGUUUUACAAUCCGUUCCCAAAUCGUUGUAUUAGCCAUUACGCCCGGCCUCCCUCCCCAUCUCUCUGUUUUACCCUCCCUCCCUACCCGACCCUCUCCUCUUCCGUCCUAAUCAUUUUCUCCUCCCAUUUCCCACUGAUUCCGUUGAUUAAUCUGUCGUCAUCGUUUCUUCUCAUCUCGGCAUCAAAUUUCCCUUCCCCAUUUCCUCCCAACACUAUCUGCUCCGCACACCAAAACCCUCUCUUUUUCUCUUCAAUAUAUUCACAAAAUUGGAAAUUCUAGCUUAAUCCAUUGAAGAAAGAGUGAAGCGUUUUUCGGGUCAUCACGUAGGAUCCAAUAUCGGGUGAGUUUUAAAUUCUGACCUAAAUUAAUCUGCCAAUUCUGACCUAAAUUAAUCUGCCAAUGUUUUUCCCAAUUGUAAAUAACCCCUCUGCAUGCUUUUCUCUUUACUUUUUUAAGCCUAAUCGUCACCUGUUUUAGUUCCUACAAGUUAUUUAUGUAUUGGUUAUGCUUUCCAUGUAUAUAAUAUCAAAUCAUGAAUCCUCUCUGGCUUUGACAUUAAUUUGAUGAUGUUAUGCAAGGGAAAUCUUGUGUAAAUUUCGAACUACUGACUCUGGGGUAGUAUUGGGAACUCUAUUAGACUACAUCAUGUGAAGCUGGUUGCGUUGUUGUUUUUAAGCCUUUUUGGUAGCAGUAGUUUCUGUUUUAGAAGGGAAUGAGACCUUGGUUGUGUUAGCAAGGCAUUGAGCGCCCAUGUUCUAGUCGCCGUGUUGAUAAUUAUGCUUGGGAUAGUUCAAUUUAGAGCUCUUAAUGAUUGAUUUUGCUUGGAAGUAUUGACUGUUGGAUUGUUGGUACGGGGUUGUGACCGAUUAAUUUCUGUUGAAAUUGCUAUUUUAUUUUAUUCAUUGUUGCUUAUUUCAUCCAGAUUAUUGUGUAUAUUGAUCUUUGGUAUGAGUUGGAGAAAGAAUAAACAGGAAACUGUUUGCAGAUUUUGCUUUUCUUUUUCUGUACAGUAUAGGGGCUUGGUUUUUUCCGUAUUCCAUUUUUGUUAUUUAUGAUCUCAAGUUUCAUUAUUUGUCCAACAAGCUCUUUGUUCGAACGGUCUUUGCCUUUGCAUUAUUUGCUUCAUAAAAUUAAGAAAUUGAGUGCAUGCCUAUGAUUUUCUGAUGAUACAUAUGACUGGAUUGUGUUGUUUGCUAAUGGGGAUGAAUUGAAGGAGAAACAGAGGCCAGUGGUUUGUUAUGUAUUAACUGAUUGCAACUUACUACAUGUAUGAUGUUAGGCACUGAAUUUACUUAAUAUGGUUGGUUUUAUGGAUGUGCCAUGACUGCUUCCAGCAUUAUUGAAAAAUAAAAGAAAAAGGGUUUAAGCUUAGGCAGAUUGUAAUGAAAAGAGGACACUUGCUGGUUUAUAACUCUUUUUGCGUUCUUAAUUGCUGCUUUGCUUUUAAAUUAUACUGCUACAAUUAAAUUUGAAAGUUGUUAAUUGAUGGAUUGCUUGUUGAGUGUUCUGUGUGUUGUACUCUUGGGAUUUGGUGUUUAUGUUUUUUGAGGGAAUAGUGAGAUGUUUGAUAUGGCUCAUGGAUGAUGAUUGGUGUAUGGUUGUGAUGUGUUUUGAUAUACAUCAUUUAGCUAUAGCAUAAUUAUUAUUAUUUUUUUAAAAAGGUUGAUCCGAGCAGUUUUCCCAUUACAGGUUCUUUGUUCCAACUCUUCCACAUCUUUUUUUAAAAAAGAUCAUUAUGUCAGGUGUUCCAGAAUCAAAUGCUCAAGCUUCUCGAGGAAGCAAAAGAAAAUGGGUUCCCGAGGAAGAUGCAGCAUUAGUUUCCAGCAUGGUGGACCUGCACAAUGUUGGAACAUUUAAUGCUGAUACCGGGUUCAAAGCCGGUUAUUUGAACGAGUUGGAAAGAAUGCUACAAACGGUUUUACCAAAUGCAAUGUUGAAGGCGAAACCUAAUAUUGAAUCAAGGAUUAGGUUACUUAAAAGGGAGUGGUCAAUCGUCUACGACAUGCUUAAUGGCCAAAACAAUAGCGGUUUUGGUUAGGACGAGCAUAGGCAGCUCGUUGUUGCUGAAGAUGCGGUUUGGGAGUCCUAUUUAAAGGUAAGAUUAUUUCAAGUCUUUAUUAUAUUAUUUUUACCAAACUUACGACUAAUAUGAUUUCCUCAUUUUUUUAGAGUCACAAAGAAGCCGCCCAAUUCAAAUUUCGUACUUUCCCUUACUAUGACCAGCUUACUACCAUAUACGCAAGAGAUCGAGCAACUGGGAGAGAUGCUCAAACAGCUGCUGAUGUUCUUGAAGAAAUACAUGCUGAUGAUGUACGUACUACAGAUAUGAAUGAAGAGAGAAACACAUUCUAUGACUGCGAAGCUGACGUCUCUUUAGACGACAUGGAUGUUUCUGGUACGGAUCUGCGAGGAGAUCGAGACCAAGGGGGUUCCUCAUCUUCAAACAAGAGAAAGAAGAAAUCUGAUGCUCGUGAUAAUGUGUUUUCUUCAUUUAAUGAGGCUGCCACUUUGUUCGGGGAGAAAAUCCAGGCCGUUGGCGAUCAAAUCAGUAGGAGUUUUGCCUCCGAGGUGGUAGUUCAGCAGAAGUCAGAAUAGCAUAUGGAAGAGAGAGCUUCAAAUUUAUAUUCAGCCUUAUGGUCAAUUGAAGGUUUAACCGACGAUCAGCGGUAUGAUGCAUUGAGUAAACUUCCCGACCAUCCAACUCAAAUGAUCGUUUUCUUUAGUUUACCUUCAGUUGCCCGAUUGGAAUGGGUUAGGAGAUUUCUUUCUUACCAUUAAAUAUCAAUGUUCAAACUUUUUGAUGUUGUAAAACUAUAUAACAUAUGGAUUUUAAUGUACAAUUUCAUUUUCAUCUAACCUUUUCUUAAUAUAAGUUAAUUAUGUUUAUGCAUAAUAUAAUUCUCAAGUUAUAUAUUGAUUUUAGUAAAUUCAUAUAAGAACAUUUUAUUAUUAAGAAUUUUAUGAAAUUAUAUAUCACUAUAUAAUUAUAUUUAAUAUUAAUUAUUUUAAAUUGUAUAAAUUCAUAUAAGAAAAUUUUUAUUAUCAAGAAUUUUAUGAAAUUAUAUAUUAUUAAAUUAUAUGUAAUAAUUAUUAUUUUAAAUUAUACAAAUUCAUAAACUAUAAUCAUAUUAGUUAUAAUAAUUUUAAAUUUUAUUAAAUCAUAUAUUUAAUUAAAUCAUAUUUAAUAUUAAUUAUUUGAAAUUUUCUUUUAUAGUAUCAUAUAUUAUGAUUUGAGUAAAUUCAUAGAAGAAUUUUACUUAUUAAGAAUUUUAUUAAAUUAUAUAUUUUAAUUAUAAUAUAUUUAAUAAUAAUUAUGUUAAUUUAUAUUUUACAGUAUCAUAUAUUAUGAUUUGAGUAAAUUCAUAUAAGAAUAUUAAUUUUUAAGAAUUUUAUUAAAUUAUAUAUUUUAAUUAUAAUAUAUUUAAUAAUAAUUAUGUUUAAAUAUGAUUAAAUUAUUUAUUAUUGAUAUUAAUCUUAUUAAAAUUUAAAUAACAAUAACAAUAACAAUAAUAAUUUACCAAAAAAAAUUUAUGCUAAUUAUUAAGAAUUUUAUUAAAUUAUAUAUUUUAAUUAAAAUAUAUUUAAUAAUAAUUAUGUUUAAAUAUGAUUAAAUUAUUUAUUAUUGAUAAUAAUAAUCUUAUUAAAAUUUAAAUAACAAUAACAAUAAUCAUUUACCAAAACAAAUUUCUGCUAAGGGUAUUCUAGUCAUUUUAGUUUUUUCAUUAUGCUAUUACACUCAACCAAACACAGGAUUACUAUUACGCCUCUAUUCCAUUACAUUCAACCAAACAGUUGAUUUGCUAUUACACAGCUUUUCCAUUACACCUCUAAUCCAAUACACCUCUAAUCCAAUACAGCGAACCAAACGUGCUCUAAUAUUUGAAUAAUGCAAGUUGAGGUGACCAAAGCUAAAGGUUUGUCUAUUGUCAAAGGGGAGUUAGGCAGUGGAAGGAUCUGGAAAAUGGACACUAAAUCUUAAGAUCACAUUUUUAUUAGAUUGAUGUGUUCUAACCGUGGGAUUCAAAGCAACCUUAGAGCACGUUUGGUUCGCUGUAUUGGAUUAGAGGUGUAUUGGAUUGGAUUAGAGGUGUAAUGGAAUAGAGGUGUAAUAGCAAAUCAACUGUUUGGUUGAAUGUAAUGGAAUAGAGGCGUAAUAGUAAAACUGUGUUUGGUUGAAUGUAAUAGAGGUGUAAUAGCAUAAUGGAGAAAACUAAAAUGACCAGAAUACCCUUAGCAUAAAUUUGUUUUGGUAAAUGAUUAUUGUUAUUGUUAUUUAAAUUUUAAUAAGAUUAUUUAUUAUCAAAAAUAAAUAAUUUAAUCAUAUUUAAACAUAAUUAUUAUUUAAUAUAUUUUAAUUAAAAUAUAUAAUUUAAUAAAAUUCUUAAUAAUUAGCAGAAAUUUGUUUUGGUAAAUUAUUUUAUUUAAAUUUUAAUAAGAUUAAUAUCAAUAAUAAAUAAUUUAAUCAUAUUUAAACAUAAUUAUUAUUAAAUAUAUUUUAAUUAAAAUAUAUAAUUUAAUAAAAUUCUUAAUAAUUAAUAUUCUUAUAUGAAUUUACUCAAACCAUAAUAUAUGAUACUGUAAAAUAUAAAAUAACAUAAUUAUUAUUAAAUAUAAUAUAAUUAAAAUAUAUAAUUUAAUAAAAUUCUUAAUAAUUAAUAUUCUUAUAUGAAUUUACUCAAAUCAUAAUAUAUGAUUAUAACUAAUAUGAUUUAAUUAAAUAUAUGAUUUAAUAAAAUUUAAAAUUAUUAUAACUAAUAUGAUUAUAGUUUAUGAAUUUGUAUAAUUUAAAAUAAUAAUUAUUACAUAUAAUUUAAUAAUAAUAUAUAAUUUCAUAAAAUUCUUGAUAAUAAAAAUUUGCAAAAGUUGAUGACAAAGGGGAAAGAGCAGGAGCUUAAGACGAUAACAUUACAACGUGCAUGCAUAAGCACACAUAGCGUACAUACCAACUUCAAAUUAAUACUAUAACACGUUACAACUUGAAUCUCAUAAAUCUGAAUAGCUGUCUGCAACAUCACACUGUCUUUUGGUUUCGAUCACCUGGGCAAACUCACCCUUCCAGAAGUUCACUAAUAAAAAAUCAGCACGUUGUUCAGAAGAAAGUAAAUUCUAUUGUAAGCCAAUCAAUCUGACGUAGCAAGGGCUGAUUGCAACACAUCUUCCAGGUAUUUUUCAGCAGCAGCAUACUGCCUUUUCUUGUCCUCAAUUGCUAAGGCAGCUAAAGCUUUAUCCUGCACGAACAAAAAUAAAAUAACGGUAAUACUGCGCACUUCUUUAGAGCACAUUCCCUCAUUGCAAGGACAAGGAUAUGGAAACUAGGGCCCCAAGUCCAAAACAUUCUAGACAAAGAUGACGACCAAAAUUGAACUUUGAACAUAGACCAUCUGAAUUAACAAUGUUACCUAUAUUAUGACUUGUCAAUAAGGAUGCAAGUUUUACAUAACAAGCAGUGCCAAGCAGGGUACCACCAAAAUGUUAAGACACGUGGAAAAAGUGCGUCUACUUAUGUGUUUGAUGAGAUUAAAUGCACAUCAAAUAUAAAUUCUGUUUAUUUAUUUAUAUCAAAACCAUAAACAAUCUUGAGAGAGAAAUAUACAAAAAUACUAUGUGAAGCUUCACUACAAAGAUCCAUAGAAACCUCACAUAUUUACAAUUACUAUUUUACUCUUGUAGCUUUACAUGAAGACAUGAUGGGCGAUGAACAGACAAGAGGAUCCAUUACCAAAGAGUCUGAUAUAGGAAAUAAAGACCAAGUAUAAUGGAGAAGAAAUUUUGAUAUGUAUAUAGAAAACAUUAACACCAAAGCACAAUAGUGCUCCAAUGCCAACCAUGAUAACAUAUUACCGGAGGUAGGUCCUGGUAGCUCCUCAAAGUAUCUAAGAUGGGUUUGGUCUUCUUCUCUAAGUCCUUCCUGUGUUCGGCCAUUUCAACCAACACCCCAUGAUUAAUUUCAAGUGUGUAGCCCACACGAUUCUGUAAUGCCUGUCAAACAAGAUUAAGCAUAAAUGAAACGCAGAAAGAAUUCAUGCAAGCAACAUAUAGGUGAUAAUUAGAUAGCCAAAAUCUUGAUAAAUUAACAAUGAGUGAGAAAACAAGAAUAGCUACAUCCUUGUAGCUUUAUAUGCAGUACUUUAUUAUUUAAAUUCCAAUAUAUGCAAAAGUGCAAUAUUCACCAAGGAAAAUGAUUCUUCUACUAAAAUGAUCUAAUGAUAAAUUGUCCAAGACUAUGAACUAGUACCUCAGCUAAUGAUUUUUCAGCUUUAAAACAGAAUCCGUACAAUAAUUCUAUUCCAACUCUGCCUAUAUAUGAAGUUCUAAGUCUCCUGUUCAAUCCAUUUUAUUUAUAAUUUCGAAUAGUAAUAAAAAGUCAUUUUAUACAUUGAAUGUCCUGUCUAUAUGGUUGAUAAACUUUAACCCUACCACUCAAAUCAAACCAUGCAUAUCCAGUUAAAUUUCAUCCACUUACGGCAAAGGCAGCUUCUCUUUCCACCCAUUUUUGUCCCUUUUAACUGAUAAAUAGCAUGUUCAUCUCAGAAGAACCAACAGCUUAAAUUUCUGUAACUAGUUUUGCAUCUUAAUGCAUCCCUGAAAAUAAAAAUACAAAGGAUACCCUAUAGUUGUUAUACUGUUGCAUGUACUGUCGCUCCUUUGACGCCAUAACACCCAAGUUCGUCUUCCAAUUUUCCAUUUGAGCAUCACAUGGAGCCACAUCAUCUUCUAGUUGUGCUAAUGUCCUAUAUGAAAAUAUCAAUUUCUUCUCAAUAACCAUCAAAUAGACUCAAACGAAGGGCUAAAUUUAGGGUGGUAAACGUACAAAUUCUUUACCUUUUCAAAUAGGUUAACCUAGCUAUUGCUUUUCGAGUAUACUCAAGAAGAGUUUUGGACUCUUUCUGCACUUUAGCCCUCUUCUCAUCUACCCCAGUCUUUCUCAAAGAAAUAUCACCCAUUGCUACAAGAAAACUAGAUCCAUUUUGUCUUUCUUCCUCGUUAGGUUCCAAAUAUAAUACAUGGAAAUCAACAUGAAUUACGGAAGUUUUCAAAAUUGUAAAUUGAAAGCAACCCACCUACUAAGUUCGGUGUCUCGAAUAUUCAACAAAUUAGCAACGUUUGCCAGAACUUGCGCCGAUGCAACCACAUUUGACGGCAAACUCUCCUGCGCUAAUCCUACGUUCUCCAAUAUCUCUCUAAUUCGUGCAGCUAUAAGAGAUUUCAAUUUUAGGAAGAACAAGAUGAAAUUGUUUGAAUUUGAGAAUUUCAAUUCAAUUUAGAAAGAAAAAAAAACAAAUUAGGACCUUGAGAACGGUAUUCGGCGGCUUUCUGGCGAAAAUCGUUGGCAACAAUGUUGGCAGCUUGAGUCUUUGCCUGCGAGACGGUAGCCAGAUUGUACAAAUGAGCAAUGCUUCGCGGAGUGUAUUCGAAAUCAGGGACUUCUUUCCCGGCGGCAUCGAACUGAGCCAGAAUAAUAAACAAAAACGGUGGGAGAUGGAAGGAGAAAUUUUGAGGACAGAAUAGGAGAGGGUCGGGUAGGGAGGGAGGGUAAAACAGAGAGCAGGGGACGGAAGGCGGACGUAAUAGGUAUUACAGGGAUUUGGGAAGGGAUUACAAAAGCAGCAAAAAAGGGGAUUAGGUCGGGAUUGGUUUACGCCCGUAAUGCCUAUUACAGCGAACCAAACGCCGGAUUAGAGGCGUCAUGUAAUACGCGCGUAUUCGGCCUGUAUUGUAUUAGGUAAUACACUGAACCAAACAUAUCCUUAUUGUUUGUCUAUUUUAUGCAUGUUAAAAUCCAGCAACUAGGUGGCAACUUUUCUUAGUGGGAUGUCAAAUUUUUUAGAACAAACCACUUUAAAAAAUAUAAAAAAUGCCAAUAAUACAAGAGAAGAGAGUCAUGGUUAAGCUUUUCAUUUGACACUCCAGUGUGAUUAGAAUUCAAACCUUAUUAACAUAGUCCCCUCUCUCAAUUUAUAGUGUACCAAAAAGGCAAGAUUUUUUGGACUAAAAUUGCAAGGAAAAAAGUCCAAUAGUUCUAACAAAUGACAAUAGCUUAAUAAUAUAGCCAUACUCUUAAAAUAUACUAAAUUAAAAAAAAAAGUAAAAAUUUGACAAUCGGAAUUUAUUUACGUAAGAAAUUUAAGGCCCAAAAAGAAAGGAGGACGAACGCAACGUAGCCCAUAUCAUUAUUAUUCUAGGAAAUUUGAAGUUGCAACUGUUUAUGCCAUUAUUUUGUUGGAUUAAUGACGCAAGUACGAGUUUGUUCUCGAUACUAGGGAAAAUAAGCAUCAAAAUCAGGCAAGUUUUUUUCUUUUAAAAAUAUAUCCAGACAAUAACAUUCGGCAAAUAUUAAAUGAACCAAUCGAACAUACCACUAAUUGAAAGCAAUGGAUACGGUUACCCUCGUUGGCAUCAGAAGCUCAUGCAAUGAAUGAAAGAUAGAUUGUCUCCUGAUCAAAUAACAGCAAAAUAUAAUCAUUAGAUUCCACUAAAAUCUAAAAAUAAGAGAGCUGCUUCAUUGUUUUACUUCACCAGCUUCAUUGGUAAAUCCACCCAACAAAAAUAAGAAGAUCAAAUUGCCGUCGAGCCUCCAUAGUCCAUAGAUCCCUGCAAGUUUUAACCGAUGAAAAUCGAUAACGCCCCUUUUUGUCUGUUUUAUCUCAGAACUGCCAAUCCUGAAGCAAAAUGUGGAGGAUUUUCUUUAAUCACAAAAAACUAACCUAUGCGUUAUGAAGUCAGUCCGAUACUCCUAUGAUGAUGUAAUGCCGUAACAUGAUUCUAAUAAAAAAAACCAUCAGAGGAAAGGGCAAAAGCAACUGCUUAGGAAUGUCUAGUAUCAAAUCAUUAAAGGAAAGGUAUGCCUUAAGCAAAAUGAGGUAAGUGCCUCACCCCCUAUAAAUUCUGCUACAAGCAUGAUGACGGAUGUUAUCUGUAAGCACGCAAAUCUGAAAACUGGAGCUAACAGAACAAGGUCAAAAAGAUGACCAAAUAGCAGUGAACCUACGUAAAAACUGCCAUGUAUUUUACACCAGUUUGAACCAUAAGAGACCAUAAAUAUCAACAUUCCGUAUAACCAUAAGCAUGAAGCUUAAGCUUCAUAUUACAACUCAUCUAGCCUGAUAGUUUUCACAAAACUGCAGGGUACUACGAAAUAAAGUCAAACUGUUUUAGAACUCGUGACUUACAUCCAUAGAAAAUGUUGAAAAGGCCAUGAGUUCAGAACAAGCCAAGGGAGUCCCAUUUAUACAAAACAUUUUAGCUGAUCUUACAUAAUCCUAACAGAAAGUUUAGGUUAAACUCCUUAGGAGAUUUCGUGGCAUGCAAGCUAAGAUGAUAAACAUACUUAGAAUCAUACCAACUAUUGAUAAGCCACAUAAACUGUAAAGGAAAAAAGAAAUUAAAUAUGAAAAGAUUUCAUGAGGAAAUUCCUAACACUGCCAUGGUGAUGGUUAUCAGUUUAAUAUAUUAAAAACAUCAUUGUUAGGAAUUCCCUUAAUAAAGGGCACAAAACUGUACAAUACAUAAGCACUCUGCCUCUCAAGAUUUUCCGUAUUUCUCGAUAUAUCCCUGCAAAACAGGGGUGGGGAAAUCUCAGUUUGAUAAAUGAAUUAUAUUAAAAAGUAGACUAGUAAAUAAUAGUAAACCUAACUGAUGGAGAAAACAAUAUCCACACUUAAAAAAUCUAAUCUUUGUUUAGAGGGAAUAUCAGGGUUGGUAGAAGUAAUAGCACACCUAUUCUAGAUCAUGCUAGUAUAUACCAUACCAACUCUCAAAUCAAAGACGCUCACCUGAACAAGCCUUGCUAUUUUUGAUUGGGAUGCUGAAAGAUACUGCUUAACUGAUUCAAAGGUAAGUGGAAUUUGAUGAGGUUGCACGGUGCCAAUAACCUUGUUAACUGCUUUUUUGACUAUUCUAUUAUGGGCAUCUUUACUGAGAUGACCCUCACGCCAAGUUGGUUUCAAAAGUUCUUUAAUUAAAUCUACAAGAGCAGCAUGGAAAUGCCUCAUUGCUUUAGACUCUUUGAGUGCCUCCCCAUCUGCCUUAUGCUCAAUAUCUAUUUCAUUCUUUUCUCUAACUCUAUCUACUUUCAAGUCCUUUUUGCAUCUAAACCCAUCCCUUCGAUGUCUAGCAUCACGAUCAGUAUCAGCUUUGCUCGUCUUUGAAAUGUCUUUGACAUGAGAAGCAACCGAUGAAAUCUCUUCUUUAACCAGCGUUCCAUUUUGCAUGUCAGCAGCAGAGGUCCAAUCAUUUGCAUCAGUUGUUGAAUCUUUCCCAGAAGUGUAGCAAUUGUUAUUGACCAAAUUUUCAACAUAUCUACCAUGGCAAGAUGCAGUUAUUUUAUCAGCAUUACAUGCAGGGACCAGUCGCCCUGCUGAUGUAGAAUCAUCAUAUGUUGGUGGAUAUGCUACAUCCAGGAGGGAUGGACCUUGACUAGAGAAAGAAAAUUUAAGAGACCUCUCCCCUACAUUGGACAAAUCAAUGCUAUCACGAAGAGGAUCAUACUCGCGUUGAGGGGAUGAUGGGCCAAAAGUGAUAAAAAAGGAUGGUCGAAAAGGUACUGAUGGUUCCCAAUCUUCUGAAGAAAAUUUUAUUCUAUAUUCGACGAAGUGCAAUGGAUCCUUAGCAAUAUCAGUUGCAGGAAAGUUUUCUGGUUCAAAACUAGAUAAGGAGGAAAAGCCUCGCAGCAAAGAAGAUGGACAGGAAGUAUGGUGUUCUCUGUCAUUCUUCAACAUCUUUUGAGCAUCAACAGAGCAUGCGCUUGAAGGAGAACUAAAAGGUAAUGAUGCUAGCCAUGUUGAGACACGAUAUUUUUGGUUCUCUUUAUAUGUAUUGCCCAGAUAUGUAUCCGAGCCACUUAAAUAAGGUAUAUGCUUAGGAAGAAAACCAUUCCCGAAGGUAGAACUACCUCUAUCACUCAGCAGACCAGGCUUGACAUAAUUGUCCGCAGGUAAACUCUUACCUAUACUGGUUUGUCUUACAUCCUUAGAUGGCUCGGAAUCAUCUGUAGAUGCUUGAAACUGUUGAGAGCCAAGGGAAGUUCCAAUAGAUUUAUCCUUACUCUGGAUUAAAGGAGAUAAUGCUGUCCUAUUUCUAGCUGAUGAAGGCAAUCUGUCAGAAGAACCGGGUGAAGGUGGCCUUGAUUUUUCAGCAGUAUUUUGAAUACCUGAUGCAUAAAGUUCUUGUAAGAUAUCACAGUAGAGAAGGUUCUGGAUCAUCCUUAAUGCAGAGAAUUUGUUGUACCUUCAUCAAGCUGAACAGCUAUUUUCUCAUCUGCUACAGCUGCAUCUUCCUCAGAUUGUUGGCUAGGAUUACUACCACUAUCUUUUAUGUGAAUAAAUUUACAUGAACUUCCUUUGACACACCACCCUCUAGCAAAGAAGUCACAAAUAAGCGCAGGGCGUUUGUUCUCGCUAUUAAACUCAGCACCAGGGUACAGACUUCCAGUACUAGUUUGCGGAGCAGAAGAUCUGUAAAACCUAUUGGUUAGUAAAAUAAUGGACGACUAAUCUUGGGAAGGCAGAAAUUUACUAGCAAAAAGGACACAAUAAGAAGCUUGGGUUCAAUCUACGUUACAGAAGGCAUAUAAGUAUCACUAACCUUGACUUCAUACUCCGCUUAUUAUCCUCUGUUUGCAUGCCCAUUUGCUUGCUUUUUUGCUCAAAACCUAGAUGACUACUAACUCCGACACCUGAGUGAUAUCUGCCCAGUAUUGAAAUAACAUCAUUGAUAGCUACCUCUUUGCCAUCAACACUUAUUAGAUUAGUAGCCUCAUACAUAAUCUCAUUGACCGUGCUACUAGUAUGCUGUUCAUGGUGGUCUUCAUGGGCCUUUCUUUCAAAAAUGACUCGAGCAUCUUGUCCAUUAACCCCAUAUUCUUGGAUUGCCUUUUCAUUCGCAGGCCUUUUUCCAGAUAUUGGAUACUUGGAACCGUCAUAGUUUUUGCAUAGAUCCUCCCUUUGAGUUGCCCAUGGCUCAUCUGGAAGACUACAUAAGUUGAAACUAGUACUACUCUCUCCUACAUAAAGGGUUUUAGAUGGUAUUCUCAUUUCAGACCUUCCAGGAGCACUUAACGGAUCUGAUCCCGAGUGUCCAACAUGCCCCUUGGACUCCAUAAUAUUACUACCAUCUGCAUUGAAGAAAAACUCAAUCAAGAUGACAAGAAAUAACCAUCAUUUCCGGUCAGACUAUGAAAUAGCCUUUAAUCAGAUCUUAUAAAAGAUGAGGUCUUUCCAUUUUGUUUUCUUAUAAUCUGGACCCUAAAAGUAGUUACCAAGCCAAAGUAAAGGAAGAUUAAAUAGGAGCACCUGCACGGCUGCUUCAUUGCAAUACUACAGGAACAAGUUAAAGAUGUAUCAAUUCACCUGAUGCUAACAUAACAAGCAUCAAGCACCUAAGAAAAAGACCUGUCAGCAGCAUUAUAUACCAGUACUUUUUUUUUUGAAUAUAACAUACAAUUAUGUUAAAGCUAAAAAAAUGGGUGCCAAAUUUCUUGGAAUACUAAGGUACUUAGGCUCAGUUAAAAACCAAUCUAGUUGUUGAAUAAGUACAUGCAAGUCUAUAAACCCUUCUCCCCACGAUGAGAAAUUAUGCUUAUUUUAUUUCUUUUGCUCCUCGAACACUACAAUCUUCUAAGGCCCAUUCAAGUUACGGCAUAAAAAUCAUAACUUUAAACAUCUUCAAAUAUUUAAUCUCCUUUCAGAAAAUUCAAAUGUCAUAAAGAUGAAACGAUGUUAUCAUCAUACAUAAUUUAUCAACGUCCGAAUUAAGUCAAUGAAAAUCGAUUGAACGAUGGUUUAUUUUUGAAUAACCGUUUCGUUUUGAAGACACUUGCAACUCCUCUCCUCUUUCUUCAUCAUCAUCGUCGUCGAUUUCCAUAUCGGAGCUGUUGAAUUCUGGCCUGGUGGUCGACGCGGUGCGUCUUUCAUCGUCCUUAUCAGCGCGUGGAACAGCGGCGGGCGUUGACAGAGGCAUUGCAGCUGAGUGCAGUAUUUUGAACGAGGUCGUGAAACGGAGGGGAUGGGGGUUGCGGAGCUGCGCACUCAAAGAGUGUGAUCUUUAUUCAUUCAUCUUUUGCCGUCUGGAUGUCGAUGAUCAUCACCGGGUGACGACCCAAUUACCUUCUUCUCCACGCGCUUCUCUUAGAGCGUGCUUAGAGGGUCAGUGAUUAGGCUCCAGCUACAGUUUGGGCCAUAAUCUUGUAUUGUGAAGGAGAGUGAGUACCUUUUAAACCAUUUCUUUUUUCAUAUUUCCACAUUUCUUUAAUAUUAAAGUAUAGAGGUAAUUUAGUUUUUUUUUAAUUAAAUUUUUAGGCUAAUUUUUUAAAAUUAGGUCGAUCUUGGAGAGAGUUUGAAAAUGCGUCCUCAACAUUUUUAAAAUUUGUUAGGGUUAGGAUAAGAGUUUUUUAGGAAUUAAGGUUUAAUAUUUUAAUAGUAAAACCGUGAAAAGUUUAUAGGUAAAUUUGAGGAGUCGGGAUGUGAUAACACAUCUUAGAACACAUACAUUUCAUAUGUCAUGCCAAGAUAAGACCAUUACCUCAGAAAACCCAUCAUAUGAAAGUCAGGUUUCAGGGUAACCGUGCUUGAUACAAUCACGAGUUGAAGUUUAAGUGAAGGUCCCAAUCGGUGGCCGUGAUGCGGUCACGAGUUUGCAUAUAACCGAGGACCAGUUGAUGGUAGUUAUGCAGUCACGAGUUCAAGCUUUUCGGAUACCCAGAAAUGAUGAUUUAUAUAUACCAUACAUAAGAUUGAUGUCAUAUUCAUAGGGGAAAAUGAUGGGAUUUUUCGGUGGUAAUUAACGUAAACUUUUUUCUCUAUUUCCAGGCAGUUAGUAUCUUUAAAAUUUUAUUCUUAUUCGAAGGCUAACACCGAGAUGGACACAAGAGGGCUCUUAGGCGGAGAGCGGAUGUUCUGUUGAAGUAGAGGUCAAACUUGAGUCGAUGUGGCAACGGUUGUAGUUAUUAAUGAUUUGUUUAAUAACGACAAUCGUUGUCGUCCUGAAAGGUGUAUAACCUUUACUCUAAUGUCACAGCCAUUGCCAGCUUGAGAGUCCUCUGUGUCCACGGUAGUGCCGACCUUUGGAUAAGAAAGAAGGUUAAAGAUAUUAACUGUGUAGAAAUGGAGAAAAAAAUUACACCGAUUAUAGCAAGAAACCCCACAGUUUUUCCCUAUGAUUAUUUGCUCAAACUUUUAUAUGGUAUUUAUAAGGCAACAUCUCAAGGUAUCAAAAAUUUUGAGUUUGUGCUCGCAUAAUGACUGUUAACUGAUCUUCCGUUAUAUUCUGAUCGAUGAUCUCAUAACGACUCUCGAUCGAUACCUUUACACAGGCUUUCACCAAUGACCGUAUAAAGCAAAUCACCUUGGAACCCGACUUCCACGGGAUAGGUUUCUGAGAUAAUAGAUUCAUUUCGGCAAGAUAAUGAAUGUGUACGUCUCAAGGUGAUAUCGCAUCACUGACGACUUAAGAAUACCUAAAACCGAAAACUUUAUUGGCAACAAAAAUUUUUAACACUGAAGUGGGAAAGAAAAUCAAAAGAAAAUAAUAUCGUAAAAAUGUAAGGAUAGAGGCCGGGAGAGAGAUAGAUAGGUUAGGGAUGAUGGAGUAUAGAGGGGGAACCCCCUUUUAUAGGCGUGAGAGAGGAGUGAGAUUGUAAAGGAAAAAAUCUCAGUGGUCGAAAACGCAUCACAAGACCAACAUUUUCAUCGAAUAUCUUCAAAUGUGCUUCAAAUCUUAUCCCGAAUUCCCGAGAUCAGGGUACUUUUUUGGCAGACUUUAGUGGAAAUAGUAAGAAAGUUCAUCCAACUGAGCGAGCUUUCCUGCUGACAUGGUAAGAAAACGGGAAUAGCUAGAUGCACUUUUCACUAAAUACAAUAAUAAGUGGAGUGAACUGCCCAGGAUGUGGUGUAGACAUUGGUGGCUCUUAUUGGUUGAUGCUGAGGACGAACACGUUGCAGCACCUCCUCCGGACCUAUGCUGCUGGGACGGUUGUUGUGGCUUCUUCUGAAGAAGUUGCAUACUCAUCACCUCCAUUGACAGAAGAUAUGGCUUCCUGCGACUUUGAACCAAGGCAUGUGCUCCAAACAGACCGUCGUGUCUGAUGAGAAAAAAAGGUUCGCGGAUAGGUAAGAAUUUCAUCCUAUGAUCCCAAAUACCGAUGUAUUUUUUAUGGUAAUCUCACCAAUUUUCGUCGGUCUUCCCCGGAGAUCGAGCUUGUGCAGUGCUUCUAUGUUUCGCAAUGGCAGUAAAAUUUUUUACCUCCACCCGAAUUGUUGCAUCACUCGAUUUGAUUUAUACAUUUCUAUCGUCGUAUACACUAUCAAUAGCACCCUCACGUCCCACAUACUCUGAAAGGCCAAAAAUUUCAGCGGGAUACAUUCUAUGAUAUCCGAAUCGACGUAUGGCAUCCAUUCAAAUUGCAGUGCACAAUUAUAAAUUCUGUUAUGUACGAAAUUUUAAAUUGCAAAUAAUUGUAUAAUUAUUAUAGGCUUGAAAAAAACAAUAACUAACCUCGGCUUUUGAGUGUUAAUCUAACAGUAACCGAAUAUUUUCGAGCUGUUCCGGUAGUCCCACGUAACUCGCCCGUGGUUCCACUUAUUCAAGCAAUAUGUUAAUUCAAACAUAUAAUAAAUAAACAACAUUUAUUAUAUUAACUACAUAUUAUUAUCAAAUUAUUUUACCUUGUCACCAAUGGGAACCUAUCAGGGACGUAGAAAUAGCCCAUGAUUGUAGUAGUAGCAGACAACUAUCGAUUGACAUCCAUAUUAUGUGUACCAAUUUCGAGAUUUAUUGGACAUUAGAAUGCCUCCGAUUAACCUCAGGAAAAUCCUUGGGCGUAUUGUUCUUUGACAACGUUGGGCGCGUUGAAGGAAGUUCUUUGAAAUUAGUUUACAACCACUUCAUAUCUAUCCGACCACCUUGAAAACUUGUUCGGCACUUUCCCUAAAAUUGCGUCAGAAAGGUCCUUUUUAUGGGAACAACCGUUGAUCCCGUAACGACUGCCCAUCCAUCGGUAAACUGAGUCAUAAAGCUACGUAUUGAGUGUGAUUGUAUACUCGUCGCAUGGAAGAUGGAAUGUGUGUGUCUCGGAUCUCCUAUAACACCCUUAACCCACAUUUGUCGCCGAAAUAAGGUUUUGAAACCAUUACCGAAGCUUAUCGAUCAAACAGACAUAAAUUACAAAUAUUUCUUAUCAUUAUAUUAGGUCAAAACCAAUUAAACUCAUACAUAUGUCCCUUAUUUGAGCCAUUGAGGCCUAAAUACGCAUUAGAAACAAAUCGGGACUAAUUCGAAAACUCAGAGAAUUUUUCAAAAAUAUUAAAAUUUCAAAAUUGUAGGGUUCACACGACCGUAUGAUUAGGCUGUGUGACUCACGGUCAGGUGACACACCCGUCUAUACCGUGUGCCAGACCGUGUGAUACACCCCUAACCUGUAUUUGUCGCUAAAACAGGGUUUAGAAGCAUUACCAAAAUUUACAAAUCAUAUUAAGAUAUUUUAUGUUAUUUUACAAUCGUAUCAAAAAUUAAUUAUAAUUAACCGUAUCGUCCCUUCUAUGGGCCUUCGAGGCCAAAUCAUGCAUAGAAACGAGUCGGNNNNNNNNNNNNNNNNNNNNNNNNNNNNNNNNNNNNNNNNNNNNNNNNNNNNNNNNNNNNNNNNNNNNNNNNNNNNNNNNNNNNNNNNNNNNNNNNNNNNNNNNNNNNNNNNNNNNNNNNNNNNNNNNNNNNNNNNNNNNNNNNNNNNNNNNNNNNNNNNNNNNNNNNNNNNNNNNNNNNNNNNNNNNNNNNNNNNNNNNNNNNNNNNNNNNNNNNNNNNNNNNNNNNNNNNNNNNNNNNNNNNNNNNNNNNNNNNNNNNNNNNNNNNNNNNNNNNNNNNNNNNNNNNNNNNNNNNNNNNNNNNNNNNNNNNNNNNNNNNNNNNNNNNNNNNNNNNNNNNNNNNNNNNNNNNNNNNNNNNNNNNNNNNNNNNNNNNNNNNNNNNNNNNNNNNNNNNNNNNNNNNNNNNNNNNNNNNNNNNNNNNNNNNNNNNNNNNNNNNNNNNNNNNNNNNNNNNNNNNNNNNNNNNNNNNNNNNNNNNNNNNNNNNNNNNNNNNNNNNAUUGUUUGUCUAUUUUAUGCAUGUUAAAAUCCAGCAACUAGGUGGCAACUUUUCUUAGUGGGAUGUCAAAUUUUUUAGAACAAACCACUUUAAAAAAUAUAAAAAAUGCCAAUAAUACAAGAGAAGAGAGUCAUGGUUAAGCUUUUCAUUUGACACUCCAGUGUGAUUAGAAUUCAAACCUUAUUAACAUAGUCCCCUCUCUCAAUUUAUAGUGUACCAAAAAAGGCAAGAUUUUUUGGACUAAAAUUGCAAGGAAAAAAGUCCAAUAGUUCUAACAAAUGACAAUAGCUUAAUAAUAUAGCCAUACUCUUAAAAUAUACUAAAUUAAAAAAAAAAGUAAAAAUUUGACAAUCGGAAUUUAUUUACGUAAGAAAUUUAAGGCCCAAAAAGAAAGGAGGACGAACGCAACGUAGCCCAUAUCAUUAUUAUUCUAGGAAAUUUGAAGUUGCAACUGUUUAUGCCAUUAUUUUGUUGGAUUAAUGACGCAAGUACGAGUUUGUUCUCGAUACUAGGGAAAAUAAGCAUCAAAAUCAGGCAAGUUUUUUUCUUUUAAAAAUAUAUCCAGACAAUAACAUUCGGCAAAUAUUAAAUGAACCAAUCGAACAUACCACUAAUUGAAAGCAAUGGAUACGGUUACCCUCGUUGGCAUCAGAAGCUCAUGCAAUGAAUGAAAGAUAGAUUGUCUCCUGAUCAAAUAACAGCAAAAUAUAAUCAUUAGAUUCCACUAAAAUCUAAAAAUAAGAGAGCUGCUUCAUUGUUUUACUUCACCAGCUUCAUUGGUAAAUCCACCCAACAAAAAUAAGAAGAUCAAAUUGCCGUCGAGCCUCCAUAGUCCAUAGAUCCCUGCAAGUUUUAACCGAUGAAAAUCGAUAACGCCCCUUUUUGUCUGUUUUAUCUCAGAACUGCCAAUCCUGAAGCAAAAUGUGGAGGAUUUUCUUUAAUCACAAAAAACUAACCUAUGCGUUAUGAAGUCAGUCCGAUACUCCUAUGAUGAUGUAAUGCCGUAACAUGAUUCUAAUAAAAAAAACCAUCAGAGGAAAGGGCAAAAGCAACUGCUUAGGAAUGUCUAGUAUCAAAUCAUUAAAGGAAAGGUAUGCCUUAAGCAAAAUGAGGUAAGUGCCUCACCCCCUAUAAAUUCUGCUACAAGCAUGAUGACGGAUGUUAUCUGUAAGCACGCAAAUCUGAAAACUGGAGCUAACAGAACAAGGUCAAAAAGAUGACCAAAUAGCAGUGAACCUACGUAAAAACUGCCAUGUAUUUUACACCAGUUUGAACCAUAAGAGACCAUAAAUAUCAACAUUCCGUAUAACCAUAAGCAUGAAGCUUAAGCUUCAUAUUACAACUCAUCUAGCCUGAUAGUUUUCACAAAACUGCAGGGUACUACGAAAUAAAGUCAAACUGUUUUAGAACUCGUGACUUACAUCCAUAGAAAAUGUUGAAAAGGCCAUGAGUUCAGAACAAGCCAAGGGAGUCCCAUUUAUACAAAACAUUUUAGCUGAUCUUACAUAAUCCUAACAGAAAGUUUAGGUUAAACUCCUUAGGAGAUUUCGUGGCAUGCAAGCUAAGAUGAUAAACAUACUUAGAAUCAUACCAACUAUUGAUAAGCCACAUAAACUGUAAAGGAAAAAAGAAAUUAAAUAUGAAAAGAUUUCAUGAGGAAAUUCCUAACACUGCCAUGGUGAUGGUUAUCAGUUUAAUAUAUUAAAAACAUCAUUGUUAGGAAUUCCCUUAAUAAAGGGCACAAAACUGUACAAUACAUAAGCACUCUGCCUCUCAAGAUUUUCCGUAUUUCUCGAUAUAUCCCUGCAAAACAGGGGUGGGGAAAUCUCAGUUUGAUAAAUGAAUUAUAUUAAAAAGUAGACUAGUAAAUAAUAGUAAACCUAACUGAUGGAGAAAACAAUAUCCACACUUAAAAAAUCUAAUCUUUGUUUAGAGGGAAUAUCAGGGUUGGUAGAAGUAAUAGCACACCUAUUCUAGAUCAUGCUAGUAUAUACCAUACCAACUCUCAAAUCAAAGACGCUCACCUGAACAAGCCUUGCUAUUUUUGAUUGGGAUGCUGAAAGAUACUGCUUAACUGAUUCAAAGGUAAGUGGAAUUUGAUGAGGUUGCACGGUGCCAAUAACCUUGUUAACUGCUUUUUUGACUAUUCUAUUAUGGGCAUCUUUACUGAGAUGACCCUCACGCCAAGUUGGUUUCAAAAGUUCUUUAAUUAAAUCUACAAGAGCAGCAUGGAAAUGCCUCAUUGCUUUAGACUCUUUGAGUGCCUCCCCAUCUGCCUUAUGCUCAAUAUCUAUUUCAUUCUUUUCUCUAACUCUAUCUACUUUCAAGUCCUUUUUGCAUCUAAACCCAUCCCUUCGAUGUCUAGCAUCACGAUCAGUAUCAGCUUUGCUCGUCUUUGAAAUGUCUUUGACAUGAGAAGCAACCGAUGAAAUCUCUUCUUUAACCAGCGUUCCAUUUUGCAUGUCAGCAGCAGAGGUCCAAUCAUUUGCAUCAGUUGUUGAAUCUUUCCCAGAAGUGUAGCAAUUGUUAUUGACCAAAUUUUCAACAUAUCUACCAUGGCAAGAUGCAGUUAUUUUAUCAGCAUUACAUGCAGGGACCAGUCGCCCUGCUGAUGUAGAAUCAUCAUAUGUUGGUGGAUAUGCUACAUCCAGGAGGGAUGGACCUUGACUAGAGAAAGAAAAUUUAAGAGACCUCUCCCCUACAUUGGACAAAUCAAUGCUAUCACGAAGAGGAUCAUACUCGCGUUGAGGGGAUGAUGGGCCAAAAGUGAUAAAAAAGGAUGGUCGAAAAGGUACUGAUGGUUCCCAAUCUUCUGAAGAAAAUUUUAUUCUAUAUUCGACGAAGUGCAAUGGAUCCUUAGCAAUAUCAGUUGCAGGAAAGUUUUCUGGUUCAAAACUAGAUAAGGAGGAAAAGCCUCGCAGCAAAGAAGAUGGACAGGAAGUAUGGUGUUCUCUGUCAUUCUUCAACAUCUUUUGAGCAUCAACAGAGCAUGCGCUUGAAGGAGAACUAAAAGGUAAUGAUGCUAGCCAUGUUGAGACACGAUAUUUUUGGUUCUCUUUAUAUGUAUUGCCCAGAUAUGUAUCCGAGCCACUUAAAUAAGGUAUAUGCUUAGGAAGAAAACCAUUCCCGAAGGUAGAACUACCUCUAUCACUCAGCAGACCAGGCUUGACAUAAUUGUCCGCAGGUAAACUCUUACCUAUACUGGUUUGUCUUACAUCCUUAGAUGGCUCGGAAUCAUCUGUAGAUGCUUGAAACUGUUGAGAGCCAAGGGAAGUUCCAAUAGAUUUAUCCUUACUCUGGAUUAAAGGAGAUAAUGCUGUCCUAUUUCUAGCUGAUGAAGGCAAUCUGUCAGAAGAACCGGGUGAAGGUGGCCUUGAUUUUUCAGCAGUAUUUUGAAUACCUGAUGCAUAAAGUUCUUGUAAGAUAUCACAGUAGAGAAGGUUCUGGAUCAUCCUUAAUGCAGAGAAUUUGUUGUACCUUCAUCAAGCUGAACAGCUAUUUUCUCAUCUGCUACAGCUGCAUCUUCCUCAGAUUGUUGGCUAGGAUUACUACCACUAUCUUUUAUGUGAAUAAAUUUACAUGAACUUCCUUUGACACACCACCCUCUAGCAAAGAAGUCACAAAUAAGCGCAGGGCGUUUGUUCUCGCUAUUAAACUCAGCACCAGGGUACAGACUUCCAGUACUAGUUUGCGGAGCAGAAGAUCUGUAAAACCUAUUGGUUAGUAAAAUAAUGGACGACUAAUCUUGGGAAGGCAGAAAUUUACUAGCAAAAAGGACACAAUAAGAAGCUUGGGUUCAAUCUACGUUACAGAAGGCAUAUAAGUAUCACUAACCUUGACUUCAUACUCCGCUUAUUAUCCUCUGUUUGCAUGCCCAUUUGCUUGCUUUUUUGCUCAAAACCUAGAUGACUACUAACUCCGACACCUGAGUGAUAUCUGCCCAGUAUUGAAAUAACAUCAUUGAUAGCUACCUCUUUGCCAUCAACACUUAUUAGAUUAGUAGCCUCAUACAUAAUCUCAUUGACCGUGCUACUAGUAUGCUGUUCAUGGUGGUCUUCAUGGGCCUUUCUUUCAAAAAUGACUCGAGCAUCUUGUCCAUUAACCCCAUAUUCUUGGAUUGCCUUUUCAUUCGCAGGCCUUUUUCCAGAUAUUGGAUACUUGGAACCGUCAUAGUUUUUGCAUAGAUCCUCCCUUUGAGUUGCCCAUGGCUCAUCUGGAAGACUACAUAAGUUGAAACUAGUACUACUCUCUCCUACAUAAAGGGUUUUAGAUGGUAUUCUCAUUUCAGACCUUCCAGGAGCACUUAACGGAUCUGAUCCCGAGUGUCCAACAUGCCCCUUGGACUCCAUAAUAUUACUACCAUCUGCAUUGAAGAAAAACUCAAUCAAGAUGACAAGAAAUAACCAUCAUUUCCGGUCAGACUAUGAAAUAGCCUUUAAUCAGAUCUUAUAAAAGAUGAGGUCUUUCCAUUUUGUUUUCUUAUAAUCUGGACCCUAAAAGUAGUUACCAAGCCAAAGUAAAGGAAGAUUAAAUAGGAGCACCUGCACGGCUGCUUCAUUGCAAUACUACAGGAACAAGUUAAAGAUGUAUCAAUUCACCUGAUGCUAACAUAACAAGCAUCAAGCACCUAAGAAAAAGACCUGUCAGCAGCAUUAUAUACCAGUACUUUUUUUUUUGAAUAUAACAUACAAUUAUGUUAAAGCUAAAAAAAUGGGUGCCAAAUUUCUUGGAAUACUAAGGUACUUAGGCUCAGUUAAAAACCAAUCUAGUUGUUGAAUAAGUACAUGCAAGUCUAUAAACCCUUCUCCCCACGAUGAGAAAUUAUGCUUAUUUUAUUUCUUUUGCUCCUCGAACACUACAAUCUUCUAAGGCCCAUUCAAGUUACGGCAUAAAAAUCAUAACUUUAAACAUCUUCAAAUAUUUAAUCUCCUUUCAGAAAAUUCAAAUGUCAUAAAGAUGAAACGAUGUUAUCAUCAUACAUAAUUUAUCAACGUUCCGAAUUAAGUCAAUGAAAAUCGAUUGAACGAUGGUUUAUUUUUGAAUAACCGUUUCGUUUUGAAGACACUUGCAACUCCUCUCCUCUUUCUUCAUCAUCAUCGUCGUCGAUUUCCAUAUCGGAGCUGUUGAAUUCUGGCCUGGUGGUCGACGCGGUGCGUCUUUCAUCGUCCUUAUCAGCGCGUGGAACAGCGGCGGGCGUUGACAGAGGCAUUGCAGCUGAGUGCAGUAUUUUGAACGAGGUCGUGAAACGGAGGGGAUGGGGGUUGCGGAGCUGCGCACUCAAAGAGUGUGAUCUUUAUUCAUUCAUCUUUUGCCGUCUGGAUGUCGAUGAUCAUCACCGGGUGACGACCCAAUUACCUUCUUCUCCACGCGCUUCUCUUAGAGCGUGCUUAGAGGGUCAGUGAUUAGGCUCCAGCUACAGUUUGGGCCAUAAUCUUGUAUUGUGAAGGAGAGUGAGUUACCUUUUAAACCAUUUCUUUUUUCAUAUUUCCACAUUUCUUUAAUAUUAAAGUAUAGAGGUAAUUUAGUUUUUUUUUAAUUAAAUUUUUAGGCUAAUUUUUUUAAAAUUAGGUCGAUCUUGGAGAGAGUUUGAAAAUGCGUCCUCAACAUUUUUUAAAAAUUUUGUUAGGGUUAGGAUAAGAGUUUUUUAGGAAUUAAGGUUUAAUAUUUUAAUAGUAAAACCGUAAAAGUUUAUAGGUAAAUUUGAGGAGUCGGGAUGUGAUAACACAUCUUAGAACACAUACAUUUCAUAUGUCAUGCCAAGAUAAGACCAUUACCUCAGAAACCCAUCAUAUGAAAGUCAGGUUUCAGGGUAACCGUGCUUGAUACAAUCACGAGUUGAAGUUUAAGUGAAGGUCCCAAUCGGUGGCCGUGAUGCGGUCACGAGUUUGAAUAUAACCGAGGACCAGUUGAUGGUAGUUAUGCAGUCACGAGUUCAAGCUUUUCGGAUACCCAGAAAUGAUGAUUUAUAUAUACCAUACAUAAGAUUGAUGUCAUAUUCAUAGGGGAAAAUGAUGGGAUUUUUCGGUGUAAUUAACGUAACUUUUUUCUCUAUUUCCAGGCAGUUAGUAUCUUUAAAAUUUUAUUCUUAUUCGAAGGCUAACACCGAGAUGGACACAAGAGGGCUCUUAGGCGGAGAGCGGAUGUUCUGUUGAAGUAGAGGUCAAACUUGAGUCGAUGUGGCAACGGUUGUAGUUAUUAAUGAUUUGUUUAAUAACGACAAUCGUUGUCGUCCUGAAAGGUGUAUAACCUUUACUCUAAUGUCACAGCCAUUGCCAGCUUGAGAGUCCUCCUGUGUCCACGGUAGUGCCGACCUUUGGAUAAGAAAGAAGGUUAAAGAUAUUAACUGUGUAGAAAUGGAGAAAAAAAUUACACCGAUUAUAGCAAGAAACCCCACAGUUUUUCCCUAUGAUUAUUUGCUCAAACUUUUAUAUGGUAUUUAUAAGGCAACAUCUCAAGGUAUCAAAAAUUUUGAGUUUGUGCUCGCAUAAUGACUGUUAACUGACUCUUCCGUUAUAUUCUGAUCGAUGAUCUCAUAACGACUCUCGAUCGAUACCUUUACACAGGCUUUCACCAAUGACCGUAUAAAGCAAAAUCACCUUGGAACCCGACUUCCACGGGAUAGGUUUCUGAGAUAAUAGAUUCAUUUCGGCAAGAUAUAUGAAAUGUGUACGUCUCAAGGUGAUAUCGCAUCACUGACGACUUAAGAAUACCUAAAACCGAAAACUUUAUUGGCAACAAAAAUUUUUAACACUGAAGUGGGAAAGAAAAUCAAAAGAAAAUAAUAUCGUAAAAUGUAAGGAUAGAGGCCGGGAGAGAUGAUAGGUUUAGGGAUGAUGGAGUAUAGAGGGGGAACCCCCUUUUAUAGGCGUGAGAGAGGAGUGAGAUUGUAAAGGAAAAAAUCUCAGUGGUCGAAAACGCAUCACAAGACCAACAUUUUCAUCGAAUAUCUUCAAAAUGUGCUUCAAAUCUUAUCCCGAAUUCCCGAGAUCAGGGUACUUUUUUGGCAGACUUUAGUGGAAAUAGUAAGAAAGUUCAUCCAACUGAGCGAGCUUUCCUGCUGACAUGGUAAGAAAACGGGAAUAGCUAGAUGCACUUUUCACUAAAUACAAUAAUAAGUGGAGUGAACUGCCCAGGAUGUGGUGUAGACAUUGGUGGCUCUUAUUUGGUUGAUGCUGAGGACGAACACGUUGCAGCACCUCCUCCGGACCUAUGCUGCUGGGACGGUUGUUGUGGCUUCUUCUGAAGAAGUUGCAUACUCAUCACCUCCAUUGACAGAAGAUAUGGCUUCCUGCGACUUUGAACCAAGGCAUGUGCUCCAAACAGACCGUCGUGUCUGAUGAGAAAAAAAGGUUCGCGGAUAGGUAAGAAUUUCAUCCUAUGAUCCCAAAUACCGAUGUAUUUUUUAUGGUAAUCUCACCAAUUUUCGUCGGUCUUCCCCCGGAGAUCGAGCUUGUGCAGUGCUUCUAUGUUUCGCAAUGGCAGUAAAAUUUUUUACCUCCACCCGAAUUGUUGCAUCACUCGAUUUGAUUUAUACAUUUCUAUCGUCGUAUACACUAUCAAUAGCACCCUCACGUCCCACAUACUCUGAAAGGCCAAAAAUUUCAGCGGGAUACAUUCUAUGAUAUCCGAAUCGACGUAUGGCAUCCAUUCAAAUUGCAGUGCACAAUUAUAAAUUCUGUUAUGUACGAAAUUUUAAAUUGCAAAUAAUUGUAUAAUUAUUAUAGGCUUGAAAAAAAACAAUAACUAACCUCGGCUUUUGAGUGUUAAUCUAACAGUAACCGAAUAUUUUCGAGCUGUUCCGGUAGUCCCACGUAACUCGACCCGUGGUUCCACUUAUUCAAGCAAUAUGUUAAUUCAAACAUAUAAUAAAUAAACAACAUUUAUUAUAUUAACUACAUAUUAUUAUCAAAUUAUUUUUACCUUGUCACCAAUGGGAACCUAUCAGGGACGUAGAAAUAGCCCAUGAUUGUAGUAGUAGCAGACAACUAUCGAUUGACAUCCAUAUUAUGUGUACCAAUUUCGAGAUUUAUUGGACAUUAGAAUGCCUCCGAUUAACCUCAGGAAAAAUCCUUGGGCGUAUUGUUCUUUGACAACGUUGGGCGCGUUUGAAGGAAGUUCUUUGAAAUUAGUUUACAACCACUUCAUAUCUAUCCGACCACCUUGAAACUUGUUCGGCACUUUCCCUAAAAUUGCGUCAGAAAGGUCCUUUUUAUUGGGAACAACCGUUGAUCCCGUAACGACUGCCCAUCCAUCGGUAAACUGAGUCAUAAAGCUACGUCAUUGAGUGUGAUUGUAUACUCGUCGCAUGGAAGAUGGAAUGUGUGUGUCUCGGAUCUCCUAUAACACCCUUAACCCACAUUUGUCGCCGAAAUAAGGUUUUGAAACAUUACCGAAGCUUAUCGAUCAAACAGACAUAAAUUACAAAUAUUUCUUAUCAUAUUAUAUUUAGGUCAAAAACCAAUUAAACUCAUACAUAUUGUCCCUUAUUUGAGCCAUUGAGGCCUAAAAUACGCAUUAGAAACAAAUCGGGACUAAUUCGAAAACUCAGAGAAUUUUUCAAAAAAUAUUAAAAAUUUUCAAAAUUGUAGGGUUCACACGACCGUAUGAUUAGGCUGUGUGACUCACGGUCAGGUGACACACCCGUGUCUUAUACCGUGUGCCAGACCGUGUGAUAACACCCCUAACCUGUAUUUGUCGCUAAAACAGGGUUUAGAAGCAUUACCAAAAUUUACAAAUCAUAUUAAGAUAUUUUAUGUUAUUUUACAAUCGUAUCAAAAAUUAAUUAUAAUUUAACCGUAUCGUCCCUUCUAUGGGCCUUCGAGGCCCAAAUCAUGCAUUAGAAACGAGUCGGAACUGAAUCGGGAACUCAGAGAAUUUUUCACAAAAUUUCAAAAUUUUUCCUAGGUUCAGGGGUCACAUGCCUGUGUGGUCAAGCCGUGUGAGCAUAUGAGGUAGGGCAUACGCCCGUGUCCCUAACUCGUGUAACUCUCUGACUUGCAACUUAAUUAAGUGCAGGGGUCACACGGCCAAGUAGGGGUGAGCAUUCGAUCGAAUUGAAUCGAAUCAAAUUUUUUUGAGUUAAUCGAGUUUUCGAAUCUCAUUUUAUCAUCCUAACUUUAUUUGAAGUUUUCUCAAAUCGAGUCGAGUGAGAUGAAAUUCGAAUCAAAUAGAAUUGAAUAUAUUUGUUCGAGUUAAAUUUUAAAAAAUAAUUUUGGGUCCUUGUAACCAUUGUCACCCAUCGUAAUAAAAUUUGUCCACCUUAAUCAAUUUUUUUAUUAACUUUCAUCACCUCAUAAUUUAUUUAUUAAUUUUUUAUAUACUGGUUAGCUUAUUUGUUUGCUUAGUUGUUUCAAUUAUCUUCAGAUUCUUGUCACUAUGUAUUUUGUAAUUAAAAAAUAUAUUAAAUAUAAAAAUAUGAUUUUUUUAAUAAAAUUUAUUUUAAAAAUAAAAUGUGAAAUUAAUACCAAUAUAAAAUUUUAACACGGAUAUUUUAUGGCAUAAUUAAGAAUUUAAUUUUAAUAUAAAUAUUAAAUAUGACUAAACAAUUAAAUAAUAUAAAUAAUAUAAAAUGUGGAAUUUAAUUUAAUAAUAUAAAUAGUAUAUAUAAAUAAAAUUAUUACUAUUUAUGUUUAGUGAUUUUUUUUGGGUAAUUUUGAUUUUUUAUUUAAGAGUAAAGGGUGAGAAGUAAAAGUUUAGGGGAGAAAUAAAAAGUUUUGGGGAAUAAAAGUUUGAGGGAAAGUAAAUAGGAGGAGUAAAAUUUUGGAGGGAAAAUAUUAAAAAAAUGGAGGGGGAAGGGUUUAGGGUAGAUGGGAGGUGGGAUGGGAAGAGAAUAAAAGUUUUAGAGGAAAAGUGGGAGUGAGUAAAAAUUUUGGGGGGAAAUAAAAGGUUUUGACUUUUGAGGGUUUUGGGGAGUAAAAUUCUGAGAAAAAAUAAAUGAAAGAGUAAAAUUUUGGUGGGAAAUAGAUUUUGGGUAGAUUAGGGGGUUGGGAGGGGAGUAAAAGUUUUGUGGGGAAAGUGGGAAUGAGUAAAAGUUUUGAGGGAAAAGUACAAAAGUUUGGGAGUUUAGGGUAAAAAUGUAAAAUAUUAUAGUUUAAUAUUCGAAUUAUUCUAGUUAUUCGAAUUCGAAAAAUCAACUCGAUUUGAACUCGAAAUUCAAAAAAAAAAUUGAGUUGAUUCGAAUAACUCGAUUCGUUUAACUCGAAAUUCAAAUUUUUUUUAUUUUCAAGUCGAAUCGAGUUUUGCUCACCCCUACGGCCAAGUCACACGCCCGUGUGCCAGGCCGUGUGAUCAAUUUCAAGUACUCUCUUUUAAAAUUUUAAGAUGUAGGGGACACAUGACUAGAACAUAUGCCCAUAUGCUAGGCCAUGUGUCACACACAGUUGAGACACACGCCCGUGUGGACAAAAUAAGGCCAUUUCCAAACUUUAUUUCUCGCCCAUUUGAUCAUUCAACUACACAAACAUUUUAACACAUCCAAAAGCCAAUCCAAAACAUUUAAAAACAUGCAAAACUCAAGUCUCAUACUUACCAUAUCACUUCAUAAUCCAUGUUUGUAAAUUUAUCUAUUUGACCACAUUUACAUAAUAUCAUACUAAUAUUAAUAAACCAAAUUAAGCACUUACACCAAACAUGAAAUUAACUCAUAUGUUAAUAUGUCAAAACACAUUCAUCACAAACCAUCCCAAUAGCUAUUUACAACCAAAAUAUUUGUAUGCAAACUUUGGCUAACCAAACCUAUACAUGUCAUUAUAUCAAAAAAUAAUGUCAUAAAUAUACUGAAGUGAGCCGAUGGAUAGUGUGAGUGAUCUCCGCCAAACUUCUAACCCAACGAGCUUCCGAGUACUAUAAAAUAGAAAAAAUAAAACUGAGUAAGCACUUAGUGCCUAGUAACUUUGUAUAACGGGAAGUAAACUUACCAUUCAUUUGUAUACUAAGUAAACAUACUCAUGCAUUCCAAACAACUUGGCCAUAGCCUAAGCACAUAAUCUCAUCAAAUAUGUUAGUUAAUCAUUUCAUGAAAAUAUCAAUACCAAAGAUGAGCUCAUCAAAUACCAAGUUCCAUGCAUUUCAUGUGUUUUUUAGAUAUUGAUUUCAUUUUGAUUCUCAUUUGUCUUCAUGUCAGAAUUUCACCUGUUGAAUCAUUUGAAAUCUCAAUGGAUACAGGGGUAGUACACAUAAAGUGUACAAAUCAAAAAUUCGCCAAUUCAUGUCUGGGAGUCCUCAUUAGAGCACUUAAAUAGAAAGGUCUCUCUCAAGCACUAUCAAUAAAUCAACAUGGAAUAUUAUGUUUUGUAUCGUUAACAGACACCUCCUACACACCUGAUCCACU